rnacentral:lncRNA from 1 species
GUCGGUGCUAAGAGGACUUGAAAGUUCAAACCACCACUCACGAACCUCAUUCAGUUGCAGCCUUCAGAAACAAGAAAAGCUCUCUGCAAAUCCUUGGUUUUCACCUUCAUCUUCUUCAAAAGGUUUUCGAGCGGUAGACAUGGUGAUCAAGUCCCUGGAGGUGACGGUGAUGUCCGCCAAGGACCUCCCCAACGUCAACGUCAUCCAUAAGAUGGACCCCUAUGUCAUCGUCUCCCUCUCCGGCAACCACAAGCAGCGCACCCACGUCCACAAGAACGGCGGCACCAGCCCCAGGUGGGUCAAACUCCUCACCUUCCCCGUCGACGAGGCCCGCGCCGACCUCCUUAUCCUCAUGUUCGAGAUCAUGACCGAGAAGACCUACGGCGGCGACAAAGAGGUUGGCAAGGUCGAGGUGCCGAUCGCGGAGCUGCUCGAGAAGCAGGGGGACGGGAAGCCCAAGCAAAUAAGCUACAGCGUGAGUCUGCCGUCCGGGAAGACCCAGGGGGUCCUGGAAUUUAAUUACAAGUUCGGCGAGGAGCUGCCGGGGGGAUGUGGAAAUACGCCGGCCCCAGAGCAGGGGCCUACAAAGAAGAGCGGCGGGCAAGGUUGGAUCGGCGGGUUGGCUGGCGGGUUGGCCGUCGGGUUGGCCAGCGGGUUGGUCGACGGGUCGGCCAGCGCGUUGGCCGGCAAGUUGACUGACGGGUUGUUCGGCACAGCGCAGCCGGAAGCCGCAGUGGACGAGCCGGAAGCCGCAGUGGACGGGCCAGAAGCCGCAACGAACGGGUCGGAAGUCGCAGAGGACAAGUAAGAUGAUGUUCUUGAUAUAUAAAGCUGGGUUUUUUCUUGCUUUGUCCGCUAUGUUUGAUUUGUAGUACGCUAGCGUCACCCUAGGUUCGGUGGUGGUAGUCCCCGGUGUCUGAUGUGCGCUUUUUCUAAUUUUCUGUGUGUGAUUAGACUAGAGGCGUCAGUCGAUGACGCCGCGUUUGGGUUUUUUUUUUUUUUUCGUGUGUAAUCACUUAUCAUAAUGGACGCGUGUGUUUUAUGGACCAAAAUAGCGAUCUGACCUUUCGAUUUUGUCUCUUUUUCCUUUCGGUUGCUUUCUUUUUGUAAUUUAUGGCAGUGAAUUGGAUCGUAGAGUUGGUAUCUCACUAAAAUAAUGACACAGUUAAUAAAAAAUACAUCGAGAAAGAUAAAUAUGACCGAUCUUUACAAUCCCUGUAUCGAUCAUCUAGAUCAAGUGUCAUGGCCGCUUAGGUGACCUUGAUCUGGGGUCAUCCAUGACCUCAGACAAGGUGGAUGGGGGUGGGGAGGGGCGGCGAGCAAGAUCAGCCACCGCCGAGGGUGCUUUGGUGUUUUUCAGCCAUGGAAUGGAUGGUUAAACUACAAAAGUUGAGGAGGGUUUUUGCGCAUUUUCCAUAUAAUAGGACUUAUUAUCACAUUUAUGCAUAUUAACUCGAGAUUAUCAUUCCAAUGGAGUAACUUCAAUUAUUGUAAUGUUUAAACUUGUCUUUCCAUGGGGUUAAUUGUUAGAUUAAUGACGGUCAAGAUUCUAUCUGUUGAUUUUAUAAGUCGUCUCUCAUGUGAAGACGUCACAACCAACCCCACGCGCUUUGUUGUUUCUGUCAACUAAAAGAAAGGAGAAAGGGAUAGAGAGAGUUGAUUGGCGAUUGCCUUCGCAUGCCUCCGCAGAAUACGCCGAAACAAUUCAUUUUCUCUUUUGCUACUUUGGAGGAGAGGUUAAUUAGGUGGCCCGCGGAUGAUUUUCAAGAACCAAAUCUGACCUAUCUUUCGAGCGAUGAGAAGAUUUUUGUUGGUGAAAUGGAUUUUUGCAUAAAUAUAAAAUUUCACAGUCGUUCUGUAAUUUACUUUACAGGGAAUUUGGUCCGCUCGAAUCUGUUAAUAUCAGGAUAUUAUCGAUUGUGGUUGCAACUGGUUCAUCCAUUUGUGAAGACAUGUCGGAUUGGAAUGAAGUCGUUCUAGUUUGAGGCCGUGCAAUUUGACUAACUUAUGGAACAUUUGAAGUUCUGGUCAAAGAACCUAACUAAUAAUCCAUUAUUCUAAUACAACUAGUCCGAUGAAUGGAUGAAAACGUUGUGAUCUUACUGCUAAUUAUUGCCAAUGGACAAGUCGUGCACAAGACCAUUGGCGUCUCUUCAUGACCUCACAUUUAGGUAUUGCCGUCAAUAAAGUAAGACGAUUUUAGAUGGCCCGGCUCUCGAUGAGUUUAAAUAAAUGAGUAUAUUGAAGAUGGGUUUCAUUAUCAAGUUCCUUAUAAACACUUGUUAAACAAUCGACUAAGAUAUUUUUCGUGGCUCCGAAUGUAUUGAUUUUGCUCAUGAUAACACUUUGAAAACGUAAAUUUCCUCAUCAUAUAAAAUUUAACAAGCGUGUUCAGUUUACUCAUGAACAUAAUUUUUCAAGCAUACAUAGUAAGUGAUCAAAUAAAGAGAAGCCGCAGUAUGGAUGAUUAGAAUAUCGAGGUACCCUCUUAUCAAAUAACAUUAGUCAAUGUCCUAGAAACACUACUCAACAACACCAGUGCAAUUAACACUAAUUUCUAUGUUGCUGGACCGAAGCUUGUUUUCUUCUGGCGUGUCAAGUUGAACAAAAUCCAAUGACAAACAAAAACCUGCCUUGAUUUGGGAUCUCAAGGACAAGAAGGUUCCCCUAAUCCCUUCACAGGAAAAACAAUAAUUUAUUUUUCGUAUUAAUCAAUCAUUAAAUAAUUUCCUAAUCCUAAUUAGCAUCUUUAAGAAACUCGUCGGCACGGUCGCACGUUUACUCAAGGGAGCUCUCGCGAGCCCAUGAAGGCAACGUGGCCCAGACGAAAGAGACUCCAUCAUGGACUCUGCAUACGCAAUCCUCCACGACCCACGGGCUCUUGACCAUUGAUGGGCCGACCCGACUGGAUCCACCUGAUGACGGGUCAAGAAAUCCGAACCCUUCCAUAGCUAAAGGAACUCAUGGAUUGUGGGCUUUAUCCGCUCCAAUCCAAACGGAUACGGUGCGGGUAUUUUUUUAAUCGGACCCGAUGGAAUGAACCAUCUCUCUCUCUCUCUCUCUCUCUCUCUCUCUCUCUGUAUAUAUAUAUAUACGUUUUUUUUUUUUAACUUUGCUAAGACAACGGUACCGUCAUUUACAUUUAAUAACAGUGUAUUUCUCACCACAUAUUUGUUUUACAAGUUCAUGGCAACUGGGAGGACUUGUAGAUGAAUUUAAAUAUAAAUUUUAUAAGAUACACAUACCUUAUUUACUUCUACAAAGUAAGCUAAAAAGAAAGGAUAAUGGCAUGCUAAACAAUGUUUUUUUUUUUUUUUUUGGUAAAGGUAAGAAAUAUAUAGAUUUAGCAUAAACUUACAAGGAAGGGGGGGAAACCAGGCACCAAUAGAGCAGACACUCAAGGCGACCAAAGUCGAAAGAGAGUGUAGGGGUGCCAUGGAUCCAAAGAGCAGCAAAGAAAACCAAACAAGGAUACCUAAACAACAAAGACUCAACUAGACCGAAAGACCCUCCAUCAAUCAAAGAUAGACGGACUCAAGUUCCAGCUCUGUUGCAGCCUUCUGUUCGUCGGGGUAUCCAAGACAUGCUUGAACGUCAUCGCUUUGUCUUUAAUUGCCUUACAAAGGUGCAUCUUCAUCGCCGGGAUAAAGUGAGUCUGAUUCCGAAAGAUGAUGUUAUUGCGCUCUUUCCAUAUUAUGUAGCAAAGAGCACCAAAGCUGAAUCGAGCCAUAGAGUGAUAAAAGCUCCUGUUCGAGAAUCGUCUGGAUGCCCAAUCAAGAUUCUCCCGCCAGGAAUUGUUCCGCCACAAGGCAUUGAAUUUCGCAGCCCAGAAGGAGGCAAGAUUCCCCGGUAUACGGCAUGCGAAGAAGAGGUGAUUCACCGAAUCAGGCCUGCUUGAACAAAAAGGACACAAAGAAGAUGCUGGAAUCAACGCAAAUGAGAGGAGAAGAACCUGAGUUGGCAACCUGUUACGGGUAAUAAGCCAUAGGUGGGUUUGGUAUCUCGACGGCAUGGAUGAGCUCCACACAAACGAAGACCAAGACACCACAUUUCCUUUGGGUCUGAAGAGAUCCCAAGCAGACGCCGUUGAGAAUUUCCCCGAUGGAUGCCGUAACCAUUGGAAAUGGUCUUCUUGUUGAUUAAACUCAGGUAGGGGAUCCCACCAAUUAGCCCUAACAUUAAUAACAUACCAACCAAGAGGCGUGGACAAAGCAUCAGCAACAGAGGCAUCUUGGGGGAUGCCGGAACGAUAUAUCUCCUGGUUGGAAAAUAGAAUAUUGAGAGGGCCAUUAGGGUGCCAAGGAUCGAACCAGAAUGACACAGCUUUUCCAUUCCCUAUCCUCCAUCUGAAAUGCUGCUGGUAAACAUACCGAAGGCGAAGGAGUCUUUUCCAAGCCCAAGAACAAUAAGUGGGGAUAGGAGUAAUCCAGAAAUUCUUCCGGUUUAAAAAUGUGGAGUGGAUCCACUUACACCAGAGAGAUUCUUUGUCCGAGAAGAGCUUCCAAAUAUGCUUCCAAAUAUGUUUUUUUUUUUAAUUGGUCAUUAUGUUAAAAAAGUAAAACUGAAAAUACUAAUGAGAUCGACUAAUCCGUUAGCUAGCGAUGUGAUACCUACUUGGCAUCUUAUGUUGCUUUCGAAAUAAUUAAUUAACAAUUAUAAAACAAAAGAAAUGUAGAAGAAAACAACCGUUAAUCACUUGACCGUUGUUGUCGCUCAAGAGAAUUUCAAUGAAUUUCACUUACUUAAGAAUUUGUCUUAAGUCUCACAUGGUCAUGUAAGUUUUCACAAUGAACCAAUAUUCGUGGUUGAUAACAAUAUCGAUCUUCUCCGACUCAAUAUCUCCUUUUAAUUGGUGCACGGGAAUGGUGUGGUGGAGGAUUUUCAGUUUAGGAUCAUCCAUUUGGAUUCUGCGAGCUAUGUGCAAACUACUUAAUUUAAAAUCACCCACCUGCACAAAUAAUAAAUCCGGGCUUAAUUGAGUUUUGAACAUGAGUAUGUCCUUAAAUUGUUUCGACUGAAAUUUAGAACGUAAAAUUCAUGGAUAUUCCCUUUUGCACAGAAAAGACAAAGAUACCCAAAAAGUAAGGGUGUGCAUGGAAACACUCCAAAAAAGUGUUUCCGGCACACUUCUGUACGGAAAGUGUUCCCGAGAACAAAAAAGGAACAGAAACGCGUUUGGUUGCGUUUCCGUUCUUUUUUUGUUUUUUUGUUUCUAGAACGAAAUAAGAACAGAAAAAAGAAACAACAAUUUGUUGUUUCUUGUUCCAGAAACAAAAAUGAAGAAACAUUUCCGGCGAGCUUCUUCUCUCUCUUCUUCUUCUCUUCUUCUUUUCUUCUUUUUUUUCUUCUUUUCUCUUUCGCCGGUCGCCGGCCUCGGCCAUGGCCGGCGACCGGCCGUCGAGGCUCAGCCUCGCCCAAAUCCGGCGAGGCCGAGCGUCGCCGGCCCCCGGCGAGGCUGCCGGCCCCGUCGGCCGGUCGCCGGAGGCCAGUGACCGGCCGAAAAAAUAAAAAAUAAAAAAGAAAGGAAAAAAUGAAAAAUAAAAUAAAAAUGUUUAAAAAAUUAAAAGAAUAAAAUUUACCAAACGUGUUUCUGUUCAUUUUUUAUUCCCGGACCAAAUGUUACCAAACGCGUUCUUUUGUUCAAAAAUUGUUCCCCGGAACAUAAACACUUUUUUUUGUUUCUGUUCCCAGGAACAAAAAAAGAACAGAAACGUUACCAUUCGCACCCUAAUGGACUUUCUCAAGAUAUCACCCUACAUAGCCGAAGUAUGUAACCCUAGCUUGUAUUAUAUAAAGAUAUCACCCUACAUAGCUGAAGUAUGUAACAAAAAUUCUAUCACUGAAACACAAAAACACUUAUUAGCAAUUGUCACUCAUUAACAUCUUGUUAGUUUAUUAUUUUUACAAGAAUAUCGAGGUACCAUCCUAUCAAAUAACAUUAGCCAAUGUCCUAAAAACGCUACUCAAUAACACCAGCGCAAUUAACACUAAUUUCUAUGUUGGUGGACCAAAGGUUGUUUGUUUUGGCGUGUCAAGUUGAAUUAAAUCCAAUGAUUAGUCUUGAUUUGGGAUUUCACGGACAAGAAGAUUCCCCUAAUCCCUUCACAAAUUUAUUUUUAUUUUUAUUUUUCGUAUUAAUCAAUCAUUAAAUAAUUUCCUAAUCAUGAUUAGCAUCUUUAAGAAACUCGUCGGCACGGUCGCACGUUUACUCAAGGGAGCUGUCGCGAGCCCAAGAAGGCAAGAAGGCCCAGACGAAAGAGACUCCAUCAUGGACUGCAAACGCAUUCCUCCACGACCCACGGGCUUUUGACCAUUGAUGGGCCGACCCGACCGAAUCCAACCAAACGGAUAGGAUGCGGGUUUUUCUUUUCAUCCGACAUGGAAUGAACAUCUAUAUAGUCGAGAACGGAAGAUAAAUCUAUUCUGACCUUAUCCGCUUAACUGAAUCUUCUCUGUUUCAAAUCUAUAUCAAUGAUCUCCUCCAUAAAACCCAUCCAAAGUCCGCAUUAGAAUCCUCCUUCAGACGACGAUCUCUCUUCCAUGGCGAUGACCACUGCUGGCGGCGGCGAUGGCGGCGGCUGCUGCGCCUUCGCCCUCCAGGUCCUCAGGGGCCGGUGGUUCAUGAUGUUCGCGUCCUUCCUGAUCAUGGCGGGCGCGGGCGCCACCUACCUCUUCGGCGUCUACUCCAAGGACAUCAAGUCCACCCUCGGCUACGACCAGUCGACCCUCAACCUCCUCAGCUCCUGCAAGGACCUCGGCGCCAACGUCGGCGUCCUCUCCGGCCUCAUCGCCGAGGUCGCCCCCACAUGGCUCGUCCUCCUCGUUGGCUCCGCCAUGAACUUCGCCGGCUACUUCCUCAUUUGGCUCGCCGUCACCCGUCGCAUCCCCCGCCCCGCGGUCUGGCAGAUGUGCGUCUACAUCUGCGUCGGCGCCAACUCCCAGAACUUCGCCAACACGGGCUCCCUCGUCACCUGCGUCAAGAACUUCCCCGAGAGCCGCGGCAUCAUGCUCGGCCUGAUGAAGGUAUUUCAUGGACGACUGAUUUCUCGUCAAAUAUUCAUAUCGGCGACGUAACGAAUACGCGAAAUGCUUUCUCUCGUCUCGUGCAGGGCUUCGUGGGGCUGAGCGGCGCGAUGAUGACGCAGCUUUACUACGCCAUCUAUGGGGACGACUCCAAGUCCCUCAUCCUCCUCAUCGGGUGGCUGCCGGCGGUGAUCUCGAUCGUCUUCGUGUACACCAUCCGGACGAUGAAGCUCUCGACGCACCCCAACGAGCUCAAGGUGUUCUACGAGUGCCUGGCCAUCACGGUCGUGCUCGCGCUGGUCAUCAUGGCCCUGACCAUCGCCCAGAAGCAGGUCAGCUUCUCCCAUGGGGCCUACGUCGUGAGCGCGGUCGCCGUCUGCGUCUUGACCUUCCUCCCCCUCGGGAUCGCGGUGAGGGAGGAGUGGGCCACGUGGAAGCAGAGGAAGGCACAGAAACCUACGACGGCGACCGUGGGAGUUGCUGGUGAUGACGCCUCCAGUCCUGCUCGUGAUUUGGAAAUUCAUGCGACUGAUCAGCGGAGGCAAGAAGAGCAAGAGGCUGCCAACCCGAAUGACACUUCGUGUUGUGCCGAUGUGUUCAAGCCUCCCGAAAGAGGUGCGGACUACACGAUCAUGCAGGCCCUCUUGAGCUUGGACAUGAUCACUCUCUUCGUGGCGACGUUCUGCGGCCUUGGAUGCAGCCUGACUGCGGUCGACAACCUGGGCCAGAUCGGCGAGUCCCUGGGCUACCCGCAGCACACGAUCGGCACGUUCGUGUCCCUCGUGAGCGUGUGGAACUACUUCGGUCGGGUCCUCGCCGGGUUCAUCUCGGAGAUCAUAUACGACAAGUGGAAAGUGCCCCGCCCCGUCAUCAUGAUGCUCUCGCUCGUCGUGUCGGGGGUCGGGGACCUCCUCAUCGCGUUCCCGGCCCCCGGGUCGGUCUACGUCGCCUCCCUCCUCAUCGGGUUUUCCUUCGGCGCGCAGCUCACGCUCCUCUUCAUCAUCAUCUCCGAGCUCUUCGGGCUCAAGUAUUACUCGACGCUGUUCAACUGCGGGCAGCUGGCGAGCCCCCUCGGGUCGUACAUCCUCAGUGUGCUGGUCGUGGGCAGGCUUUACGACGUGGAGGCGACGAGGCAGCUUGCGGCCAGGGGGCUGACACGAUCGGCGGCGAAGGAGCUGACCUGCAUCGGGAGGCGGUGCUACCGGACGUUGUUCAGCAUCCUGGCGGGCGUGAACGCGCUGGGGGCGCUCGUCUUGCUGGUUUUGGUCGUGAGGACUAGGGAGUACUACCAAGGGGAUAUCUACAAGAGGUAUAGAGAUCAAAUGGCUGAGAAUGAGAAAGGGAUUGCGUUGAGCAAUGCCGGCAUUGAUGAUCCUGAGGAUGUAAAAAAUAGGAAGUGACAAGGAUCAAGUGAAGGUGGUGAACCCAUCUUCUUCUUCUUUUUCCUCUUAAGUUUUUCAUGCUUGCGAUUUAGUGCGAACACGAAUUGCUUAAUGUACACGAGUCUCCUCUUCCUGGUUCGUCUGUGCUUUUUGUUUUUUGCCCACAGAGAUUUCGAUCAGCAAAUGUCCUUGAUCACAUUCUAAAGUUCCAUCUAAUCCGGUGAUUUUAAUAAACUCAGUAGUAGUCGAUCAAAUUGAUUAUUAUGAUGAUAACUGUCAUUGAAUCUUGGCCGAAACACGGUAAAUUUGAAAAAGAAAAUACUGUGGAUAACUUAUGAAAUUUGAAUCCCUUCGGCAGUUAAGUUAGAUGAGAUCAUUCCAAUUGUAAUCUGAUCACCAGAAAGGAUUUUCAAGUUGUUUUCUUAUCGUUAUUAGUCAAAGUAGGUAGAGUCAAAUCUCAUGCAAAGUGGCUCGUCGGCCAGAUCCAAAUGGAGAUAAGGCCGAGACCCAUCUGAUUGACCCGAGCACCCGAAUUGCCCCCAGUCCAGCCCAACAGCAUCUUUGGAUUUCGUGAUGCCCUUGGAGCACCCGAAUUAUUAAAAUCACCAAAUUUUGUAGUGAAAUUUUUUUUUUUUUCGAGGAAAAUAGUUUGACAAUACUAGGGGUUUUCUCAGAUGAAUGGUUAACGUGAUUGCGAGAGUGCUCGAUAAUUUAUCGGUCGCAUGCACAAAAUCAAAUGGAAAAAGAAAAAGCAUUCAGGCAAUUUGUUUGUCCCGAUUUUCUUCCUCUGUCAUAAAAUAGAGAAGAUGGGCUUCGUGGUUGAUAACAAUAUUGAUCUUCUCCGACUCAAUAUCUCCUUUUAAUUGGUGCACAGGGAUGGUGUGGUGGAGGAUUUUCAAUUCAGGAUCAUUCAUUUGGAUUUCACGAGCUAUGUGCAAACUAUUUAAUUUAAAAUCACCCAUCCACACAAAUAAUAAAUCUGGGCUUAAUCGAGUUUUGAACACGAGUAUCUCCUUAAAUUGCUUCAUUCGAACUCUAUGAACUUUGAGGCAUAAAAUUCAAAGAUAUUCCCUUUUGCACAGGAAAAAUAAAAAUAAAGAUAUACCUAAAAAUUUAGGGACUUUCUCAAGUGAGAUAGUAGAUUCCAUCGUAACAUUUUUGAAAGUUGUUUGAGGAACUAAUAAGCUAGUGUAGUAGCUAGAAGAGGGAGAUGAAAGCCCUCCUGCUAGGCCUAUGUGUACUUCGGAUAGUGUCUUUCAACCGGGUUGGUUAAAAGACACCGUGCGAAGAUAACAAAUCUGGGCUCAAUCGAGUUCAUUAAACUUGUAGGAUAGUCAAAGCGCCUGCAGACUGUCCGUCAGAUCUCUUUUGUCCGGUGUUUUGGAUUUUCAAAAGAAGAAAUGUAUGUAUAGAUUGGCUCAUUUAUGCCGCUACAGAGCCUUUUGCAGAAGGCAAUGGCAGGACAUCGUAUUGACGAUCGCAGGCUUUGACGCUGUGCUUUUGCUCCUCUAUGUAUUAGUCUCCGUUUCUUUGAGCAUGGCGGAUAAAAAGGACUUUCUAAGUGCUAGAGGGCUUGAUAAAGGAGGCGAUUUUUCUCUUCCUUUGGUUUCCUUUAUCUGGUCUAAUUGGAGGCUGCUUCAUUAUAGUGAAAAUGUCAUUUGCCCACCCUGGAAAGUCACAGAAAAGGUCAUUGGGUUUGCGUGUGCAUUGAGGUUAGAAGGGAAUUAGCGAGGAGAGUACACGGUUCAUAUUCCCUUGCAUCUGCUGUCCAGCCAAUCCUCGUGGGACCUGCCUAUGAAAAAUUGCAUUUUUUUUAAUUAGGUUGGACUAUAGGAUGGGCGUUGUGGGCCCCACUACCUGCUGGGGGAGGGGGGAUCUGAUCUGAUCUGAUAGGAACUAGACAGAAGACAACCAGCUGCGGUACUGUUACAUAUAAUAAAAUCGAAAAAGGAAAAAAAAGAUAAGCUUUUUUUUCCAAGAGACCUUGACUCUUUUUUUUCCAAGAGACCUUGUUCGCUGUCCUAUUAUCCUAUUCUACGGUCUACCGUCAACUAGAGAGAUGGUUGCCUCCUCCCAACUCCCAUCAGCCGCGUCUUGUUUCCAAACCACUGGAUUUUCGGGCGAAUGCUUUGACUCGACUGGGUCAGCAUAGGCUGGGGUUAGUCGUAUUUCAUGGCUAUGAUGGUACCUGUUGAACCAUGGUCGGGCGUGAGAAUCUUAGAUCUAAAUCCUCCAAAGAAUGCACAUUGCUAGAUUUCCUUUUUGACCAUGUCGAUGCUAGCACCAGAUCUACGCGAGGAUCAGUGGCUACUCUGAAUGAAGUCAAUUUUUCCAAAGUCCGGUUCCAAGAGUAGCUUGAGUGGAUUCUCUCGGGUAAUGCUUUCAGAAGCAAGAAACACAACGGGGAUUCCAUCUACUUCAGAGCAAUACCUAUAAUUUACCAUUUUCUUUUCUCCUAGAACUUGGAAUGAGUAGCUAUAGUCUUCCACGUUAGGUUGCAGAUCAAUGACAUUCGACAGAGGAGACCCAUCAACGGCGAUUGAAUGACGUGAGAAAAGUCAAUAACCUGCUUGAUUACGCAGAGAGAGAAAAGCAGGGCUGACACGGACUGAUAGAACCUAGGAUGGUCCCAUUGCUGUGAUGGAACUGCGCCUUGCUGCAGUUGGCCCUAAUUUUUAGUGUAAGCGCGUCUUCUCAUUUAAAAGCAAGAGCACUUUGAGUGAUUGGCUCAAUGAUGUACACUUCUCUUUCUGCUGUGUCUGUAUCAGACGAGCAUCAAUUUGACUGCAUUUGAGUUUUGAGAUGAGCAUAGCAGUGAGGGAUGGUUCCCUAUUUGACGAGCAUUUUUACGAAGACAAUGCAGCCAAAUUUCCAGUUCAGCUAGAUUGUACCUUACUCCUACCACUAGGAUCUUGCACGCCGCAAUUUAAAAAUUUCUUCUGUUGUUGUUCAGCUAGAUUGAACCUUGUUCCUACCAUCUUGUCCAUCACCCUUUGUUUAAUUCCUCUAGCCUGAUGUCGUGACUUUGUCCUUUGAUUACGAUUCAUUCAGAAGGGCCUCUGAUUUUCUCUCUUCUUUCGCAGUUUGUUCAUUCACAGGGACAGCAGCGCGGGCAUAUCUAAUCUGGGGUUUUCUCGGGGUGGGACGUCCACAGCCACCACCACCGAUGGCGGCGGAGGGAGUGGAUCCGACGGAGGGGACAGGGACCCCUUUGGAAUGAUAUUUGGGAGCGACGCACCACCGGCAUAUUCAUCAGCUAUCUCCUUUUGUCUUUACUAAUCAUUUUGUUAAACAAACCAAUGAAGGAAUUUUUAGCGGUACCCAAUGUGCUAAUUGUGCUCGUGAUAACAUUUUAAAUCAUAGAUUUUCUCAUCACAUAAAACUUAACAAGCGUCUCAACUUUAUUCUUAAUCAAAAUUCUUCGAACAUACAUAAUAAGCGAUUAAGUAAAGAGAAAUUGCGGUAUCUGAGGCUACAAUAUCGAAGCACCCUCUUAUCAAAUGACACUAGCCAAUCUCCUAGAAUUGUUGCUUAACAACAUCGGCGCAAUUAGACACUAAUGCCAGAGUGGGGGGACUAAAGGUUGUUUUGUUUUGGCAUGCCAAGUUGAAUUAAAUCUAGUGACGAAACUGUAUUGUGCUGCGAUUGCAAGGACAAGGGGGUUCACCUAAUCCCUCCACAAAUCAUUUUUGCAUUAAUCAAUCGUUAAUUAAUUCCCUAAUCUUAAUUAGCAUCUUUAAGGAACUUGUCGGCACGGUCGCAUGUUUGCUCAAGAAGGCAAAAUGGCCCAGGCGAAUGAGACUCCAUCGUGGACUCCGCAUACGCAGCCCUCCACGACCCACGGGCUUUUUGACCAUUGACUGGCUGACCCAACUAGAUCCACCCGACCCUUCACGGGUCAAGAACUUCGAACCCGUCCGUACCAACUACCAAGAGACGGCGAUCUUCCCAUGACGACCACCACCGGUGGCGAUGGUCGCAGGUGAUUCUGCAGCUUCGUCCUCCGAAUCCUCCGAGGGCGGUGGUUCAUGAUGAUGUUCGCGUCGUUCCUGAUAAUGGCGGGCGCCGACGCCACUCCUACCUCUUCGGCGUCUGCCCCAGGGACAACAGGUCCACCUCGGAUACAUGAUAUUAAUUAAUUAUUCAUCCACAAUAGAUAGUGGUGGCUGGGGACAUAUAUAGUGAAUCAAGCUGUCCCACAUAUUUAUUUCCUUUUCGACAAAAUAUGAAGGACACGUGCCCAAGGAUUAUUUCUAAGAAACAAAUCAGGUCGAAACCGUAAUUGAUUUCAAGUGGAGAACAUUACGAAACAUCGUCCACUUUUCUUGGUUUCACACCCUCUGGAGUAAUCUUUAAAUUUGCUUUCCUAUUUGAAUCUCCUAUUCAUUAAACCUUCUUUCCUUUAAAAGACCCCAAGUCAACUCUUAAGUCCCCUCUCUCUCUCUCUCUCUCUCUCUCUCUCUCUCUCACUCAUAAAUAUGAUUAAAGAAAAACUAAAAUAAGAUUUUAAAAUAUAAAUUAUUAUAAGUACAAAAUACUAUCACCUACUAAAAAAAAUUAUUAAUAUAGUCAGUACAAUUUUUACAUUUAUCCAGUAUCGUGACGCUUUCAUGAUUAGCAUCUUCGGUUACAUUUUUAAUUUUGUGUCUCGUCCGCAUCACCAUCAUUAUUUUCAUUGGCACUUGGAAUCUCUAGCGGCGUUCCUCGACUCAGCAGCUUCAUCUCCCAAAGCUAGCGCUCAAUCGUGCGCCGACUGGUCCUUUGCCGUAUUCAAAUUUUUUCUUGUAGGUCCAUGGAGCUUCUUACGAGAUCCAGUCCUUUUCCAAUUCGGUUUGCAGCAUCUCGUAAGUUCGCGGCAUCCUCCCAACGAUGCUGCUGCUUUAGUCUCGCUGCGACAGCCUGGGCCGCUAUCCCUCGUCAACACCUUACCACCGUGACGGCCCGAGCCCGCAAUGACGCUCCUACUGAUCCAUUACGAAGAGAUGCUCUUCGUGUCGUGCCAUCGUUGCACCUAUUGAGAUGAAUCUGGGGACAAUAAUUCACAACGAGUUAAACCUAAUCCAAGAUCAAUUUUUUUUCCCGAAACUAAAUCAACUGAAAUUCUCUUAACCCUAGCAUCAACUAGCAAUAUAUAACAUUACAAUAUACAAAUAUAUUGCCGAAAUGAUAAGUAGACAAAGCAAAUAACGACAUCAAGAAUUUAACAUAAAAAAUUUGAUAUGAGAAAAAUCAUGGACCACCCAAAAAACAUCAACUAAUUACCCAGGAUACACAAAGUAUUAUUUUUUAGUCACACACUAGAUGCUUAAUAUUAAUAUUACAAUCUCAUUUCAUCACCACAUAGGUAAAUAAAUAAAUUCGAAGUAAGAAAGCCUUAAUCGCAAGGGGAGAAUUCGGAGGCGAUUCUAGACGAACGAAAACCAUCAACUUUAGCCCUCGGUCUCACAAACAAUAUACUCAAAUUUGAGCCGAUUCUGUCAAUGUUUGGCCUUCUAAUCAAGAUCACAAAGUUGCAGCCCUUUUCUUUUAUUUUAUUCUCCUGUUUCGGUAGUUUUUGGUUCUCUCUUUCCUCACUUCGGGCGUACACGCUUACGCACGAAGGCCCAAUUUCUUUUCAACUUCUCUCCUUUUUUUUAUGUUUUUCCUUUAUUUUUUUCAAUGCUAGCUGGGCCCACAUAGAAGUAGACCCAGCCAACAGCACGUGCUACAGCGAGCUGCCUGGUAACUUCCUUGCUGUCUUACCGUGCUUCGGUAUCUAAUUUAUAUUUCUUUCAUCAUAUUCAUAAAAAUCGAUAGUGUGAAUCCUCUUACAUUUUUAUUUUUUAAUUUAAGUUGGCAAUAAAAAAACAUUAAAAAAAAUAAAAGAAAAGAAAAUUUGGGUAAAAAAUGAAAAUCCAAUUUCUAUCCAAAGAGUGCGGGCUAGAUAAGCCGCCCCCUUUUCCCCAGAACGAGGUUGGUGCUACAAGGACUUGAAGCCACCCCUCACGAACCUCGUUAAGAAGCCCGCUUCGCAAAUCAUCGGUUUUCACCUUCGUAACAUGAACAUCAAGUGCGUAGGAAAAAAAAAACACGGACAUCAAGUACGUAGAGACGACGGUGAUGUGCGCCAACGGCCUCCGAGACGUCAACCGCUUCCACAGGAUGGACCCCUACGUCGACGUCUCCCUCUCCGGCCUCUUCAAGCAGCGGACCGACGUCCGCAAGAACGGCGGUACCAGCCCCAGCUAGGGCAAACUCCUCGCCUUCCCUGUCGACGAGGACCGCGCCAGCCUCCUCUUCCUCUUCUUCUAGAUCAUGACCGAGAAGGCCGUCGGCGAGGCCAAAGAGGUCGGCAAGGUCCAGGUGCCGGUCGAGGAGCUGCUCCAGAAGAAGGGCGACGGGAAGCCCAAGCUGAUGAGGUACAACGUGAAGCUGCCGUCCGGGGAGACCCAGGGGGUCCUGGAAUUUUAUUACAAGUUCAGCGAGGAGCUGCCGGCCGGAUAUGAAAUUCCGCCGGCUCGAGAGGCUGCGUACCAGGAGCCUCCAAAGAAGAGCGGCGGGCAGCAGAUGAUCAGUGUGUUGACCGGCGGGUUGUUCUUCGCGGGGCAGGUGGUAAACACGCUAUUGGACGGGUAAGAUGAUGUUCUUGAUAUAUAAGAUUGCUUUGUCCGCUAUGUUUGUGUUGAAAUAAUAGUUAUUUCCUUUCGCACGUUUAGCUGAUUUUACGUUAUGUAUUUGUCUUUUAUAAAAGAUUUACGUUGUGUAUUUGUCUUUUGUAAAAGACUUUGUUGUUAUAAAUGAAAGAUAAUUUCAGCCUCAUCUCUCCUCUCUUUAGCAAUUUAACAAUUUGAACUUUGAUCUAUAGUACACCAGCGUCACCCCAGGCUCGAUGGUGGUAGUUCCCGGUGUCAGAUGUGCGCUUUUUAUUAUUUUUUCUAUGUGUAAUUAGACUGGAGGCGUUAGCCGAUGACGCCGCGUUCGGUUUCUUUUUCCUGUGUUAUCAUUGAUCAUACUGGACACGUUUGUUUCAUGGACCACAAUAGCGAUCCGACCUUUCGAUUUUGUCUCUUUUUCCUUUCGGUUGCUUUCUUUUCGUAAUUUAUGGCAGUGAAUUGGAUUGUAGAGUUGGUAUCUCACUAAAAUAAUGCCACACUUAAUGAAAAAUACAUCGAGAAAGAAAUUUUGGGGAUAUGAAUAUGACCGAUCUUUACAAUCCCUGUGUCAAUCAUCUAGAUCGAGCAUCAUCGCCACUUAGGCGACCUCGAUCUAGGGUCAUCCAUGACCUCAGACAGGGUGGAUGGGGGUGGGGAGGGGCGGUGAGCAAGAUCAGCCACCGCCGAGGACAAGGCUGCGGGUGCUUUGGUGUUUUUCAGCCAUGGAAUGGAUGGUUAAACUACAAAAGUUGAUGAGGGUUUUUGCGCAUUUUCCAUAUAAUAGGACUUAUUAUCACAUUUAUGCAUAUUAACUCGAGAUUAUCAUUCCAAUGGAGUAACUUCAAUUAUUGUAAUGUUUAAACUCAUCUUUCCAUGGGGUUAAUUGUUAGAUUAACGAUAGUCAAGAUUCUAUCUGUUGAUUUUAUAAGUCGUCUCUCAUGUGAAGACGUCACAACUAACCCCACGCGCUUUGAUGUUUCUGUAAACUAAAAGAAAGGAGAAAGGGAUAGAGAGAGUUGAUUGGUGAUCGCCUUCGCAUGCGUCCGCAGAAUACGCCGAAACAAUUCAUUUUCUCUUUUGCUACUUUGGAGGAGAGGUUAAUUAGGUGGCCCGCGGAUGAUUUUCAAGAACCAAAUCUGACCUAUCUUUCGAGUGAUGAGAAGAUUUUUGUUGGUGAAAUGGAUUUUCGCGUAAAUAUAAAAUUUCACCAUCAUUCUGUAAUUUACUUUACAUGGAAUUUGGUCCGCUCGAAUCUGUUAAUAUCAAGAUAUUAUCGAUUGUGGUUGCAACUAGUUCAUCCAUUUGUGCAUGCAUGUUGGAUUGGAAUGAAGCCGUUCUAGUUUGAGGCCAUGCAAUUUGACUAACUUAUGGAACAUUUGAAGUUCAGGUCAAAGAACCUAACUAAUAAUCCAUUAUUCUAAUACAACUAGUCUGAUGAAUGGAUGAAAACGUUGUGAUCUUACUGCUAAUUAUUGCCAGUGGACAAGUCAUGCACAAGACCAUUGGUGUCUCUUCAUGACCUCACAUUUAGGUAUUGCCGUCAUAAAGUAAGACGAUUUUAGAUGGCCCGGCUCUCGAUGAGUUUAAAUAAAUGAGUAUAUUGAAGAUGGGUUUCAUUAUCAAGUUCCUUAUAAACACUUGUUAAACAAUCGACUAAGAUAUUUUUCGUGGCUCCCAAUGUAUUGAUUUUGCUCAUGAUAAUGCUUUGAAAACGUAAAUUUCCUCAUCAUGUAAAAUUUAACAAGCGUGUCCAGUUUACUCAUGAACAUAAUUUUUCAAGCAUACAUAGUAAGUGAUCAAAUAAAGGGAAGCCGUAGUAUGGAUGAUUAGAAUAUCGAGGCACCUUCUUAUCAAAUAACAUUAGUCAAUGUCCUAGAAACACUACUCAACAACACCAGUGCACUUAACACUAAUUUCUAUGUUGGUGGACCGAAGCUUGUUUUCUUCUGGCGUGUGAAGUUGAAUAAAAUCCAAUGACAAACAAAAACCUGCCUUGAUUUGGGAUUUCAAGGACAAGAAGGUUCCCCUAAUCCCUUCACAGAAAAAACAAUAAUUUAUUUUUCAUAUUAAUCAAUCAUUAAAUAAUUUCCUAAUCCUAAUUAGCAUCUUUAAGAAACUCGUCGGCACGGUCGCACGUUUACUCAAGGGAGCUCUCGCGAGCCCAUGAAGGCAACAUGGCCCAGACGAAAGAGACUCCAUCAUGGACUCUGCAUACGCAAUCCUCCACGACCCACGGGCUCUUGACCAUUGAUGGGCCGACCCGAAUGGAUCCACCUGAUGACGGGUCAAGAAAUCCGAACCCGUCCAUAGCUAAAGAAACUCAUGGAUUGUGGGCUUUAUCCGCUCCAAUCCAAACGGAUACGGUGCGGGUAUUUUUUUCAUCGGACCCGAUGGAAUGAACCAUCUCUCUCUCUCUCUCUCUCUCUCUCUCUCUCUCUCUCUCUCUCUAUAUACGUUUUUUUUUUUUAAACUUUACUAAGACAACGGUACCGUCAUUUACAUUUAAUAACAGUGUAUUUCUCACCACAUAUUUGUUUUACAAGUUCAUGGCAACUGGUUAGACUUGUAGAUGAAUUUUAAAUAUAAAUUUUAUAAGAUACACAUACCUUAUUUACUUCUACAAAGUAAGCUAAAAAGAAAGGAUAAUGGCAUGCUAAACAAUGUUUUUUUUUUUUUUUCAAAUUGGUCAUUAUGUUAAAAAAGUAAAACUGAAAAUACUAAUGAGAUCGACUAAUCGGUUAGCUAGCGAUGCGAUACCUACUUGGCAUCUGAUGUUGCUUUCGAAAUAAUUAAUUAACAAUUAUAAAACAAAAGAAAUGUAGAAGAAAACAACCGUUAAUCACUUGACCGUUGUUGUCGCUCAAGAGAAUUUCAAUGAAUUUCACUUACUUAAGAAUUUGUCUUAGAUAGGUCAUUGUAGCUAUUCUCCGUCAAGGAAGAAUAGGGGUUUUCAAUUGUCAUUAGUACUUAUUAUUAUUAGAAGAAAUAAAUUGACCUCUAAUCCAUAAGAAACAAAGUAAAGUCAAGUCUCACCUGGUCAUGCAAGUUUUCUCAAUGAACCAAUAUUCGUGGUUGAUAACAAUAUUGAUCUUCUCCGACUCAAUAUCUCCUUUUAAUUGGUGCACGGGAAUGGUGUGGUGGAGGAUUUUCAGUUUAGGAUCAUCAAUUUGGAUUCCGUGAGCUGUGUGCAAACUACUUAAUUUAAAAUCACCCACCUACACAGAUAAUAAAUCCGGGCUUAAUUGAGUUUCGAACAUGAGUAUGUCCUUAAGUUGUUUCAUCUGAAAUCUAGCACGUAAAAUUUAGGGUAUUCCCUUUUGCACAGAAAAGACAAAGAUACCCAAAAAUUAACGGACUUUCUCAAGAUAUCACCCUACAUAGCCGAAGUAUGUAACAAAAAUUCUAUUGCCGACACACAAAAACACUUAUUAGCAAUUGUCACUCAUUCUCAUCUUGUUAGUUUAUUAUUUUUACAAGAAUAUCGAUGUACUAUCCUAUCAAAUAACAUUAGCCAAUGUCCUAAAAACGCUAUUCAAUAACACCAGCGCAAUUAACACUAAUUUCUAUGUUGGUGGACCAAAGGUUGUUUGUUUUGGCGUGUCAAGUUGAAUUAAAUCCAAUGAUUAGUCUUGAUUUGGGAUUUCACGGACAAGAAGAUUCCCCUAAUCCCUUCACAAAUUUAUUUUUAUUCUUAUUUUUUGUAUUAAUCAAUCAUUAAAUAAUUUCCUAAUCCUAAUUAGCAUCUUUAAGAAACUCGUCCGCACGGUCGCACGUUUACUCAAGGGAGCUCUCGCGAGCCCAAGAAGGCAAGAAGGCCCAGACGAAAGAGACUCCAUCAUGGACUGCAAACGCAUUCCUCCACGACCCACGGGCUUUUGACCAUUGAUGGGCCGACCCGACCGAAUCCAACCAAACGGAUAGGGUGCGGGUUUUUCUUUUCAUCCGACAUGGAAUGAACGUCUAUAUAGUCGAGAACGGAAGAUCAAAUCUAUUCUGACCUUAUCCGCUUAACUAAAUCUUCUCUGUUUCAAAUCUCUAUCAAUGAUCUCCACCCUAAAACCCAUCCAAAGUCCGCAUUAGAAUCCUCCUUCAGACGACGAUCUCUCUUCCAUGGCGAUGACCACUGCUGGCGGCGGCGAUGGCGGCGGCUGCUGCGCCUUCGCCCUCCAGGUCCUCAGGGGGCGGUGGUUCAUGAUGUUCGCGUCCUUCCUGAUCAUGGCGGGCGCCGGCGCCACCUACCUCUUCGGCGUCUACUCCAAGGACAUCAAGUCCACCCUCGGCUACGACCAAUCGACCCUCAACCUCCUCAGCUCCUGCAAGGACCUCGGCGCCAACGUCGGCGUCCUCUCCGGCCUCAUCGCCGAGGUCGCCCCCACAUGGCUCGUCCUCCUCGUUGGCUCCGCCAUGAACUUCGCCGGCUACUUCCUCAUCUGGCUCGCCGUCACCCGUCGCAUCCCCCGCCCCGCGGUCUGGCAGAUGUGCGUCUACAUCUGCGUCGGCGCCAACUCCCAGAACUUCGCCAACACGGGCUCCCUCGUCACCUGCGUCAAGAACUUCCCGGAGAGCCGCGGCAUCAUGCUCGGCCUGAUGAAGGUAUUUCAUGGACGACUGAUUUCUCGUCAAAUAUUCAUAUCGGCGACGUAACGAAUACGCGAAAUGCUUUCUCUCGUCUCGUGCAGGGCUUCGUGGGGCUGAGCGGCGCGAUGAUGACGCAGCUUUACUACGCCAUCUAUGGGGACGACUCCAAGUCCCUCAUCCUCCUUAUCGGGUGGCUGCCGGCGGUGAUCUCGAUCGUCUUCGUGUACACCAUCCGGACGAUGAAGCUCUCGACGCACCCCAACGAGCUCAAGGUGUUCUACGAGUACCUGGCCAUCACGGUCGUGCUCGCGCUGGUCAUUAUGGCCCUGACCAUCGCCCAGAAGCAGGUCAGCUUCUCCCAUGGGGCCUACGUCGUGAGCGCGGUCGCCGUCUGCGUCUUGACCUUCCUCCCCCUCGGGAUCGCGGUGAGGGAGGAGUGGGCCACGUGGAAGCAGAGGAAGGCACAGAAACCUACGACGGCAACCGUGGGAGUUGCUGGUGAUGACGCCUCCAGUCCUGCUCGUGAUUUGGAAAUUCAUGCGACUGAUCAGCGGAAGCAAGAAGAGCAAGAGGCUGCCAAUCCUGCAAAUCCGAAUGACACUUCGUGUUGUGCCGAUGGGUUCAAGCCUCCCGAAAGAGGUGCGGACUACACGAUCAUGCAGGCCCUCUUGAGCUUGGACAUGAUCACUCUCUUCGUGGCGACGUUCUGCGGGCCUUGGGAUGCAGCCUGACUGCGGUCGACAACUCUGGGCCAGAUCGGCGAGGUCCCUGGGCUACCCGCAUCUAGGGGUGUCAAUGGNNNNNNNNNNNNNNNNNNNNNNNNNNNNNNNNNNNNNNNNNNNNNNNNNNNNNNNNNNNNNNNNNNNNNNNNNNNNNNNNNNNNNNNNNNNNNNNNNNNNGUUUCGUAUAUAUAUAUAUAUAUAUAUAUAUAUAUAUAUAUAUAUUUUUUUUUCGGGUGGUUGUAACAGUCCCAAUCUUUUGCGAACAGGUUAUUACAAGAACACAAAAUACCUAUUAAUAAUUCCUGUGGAUGCUAUUUUUCAGGGACAAGCCAUAUGAUGCAGAACCUGGUAACCAAGUUAAUUAUAUCUUCUUGAGGCUACUAGAUAUUCAUGAAUUGGAAAGAACUGGUGAGUAAGACCUGUCCUUAAACUGUAGUCCAACAGAAAGCUUCUUGGUGACGAUGAACAGAAGAAACAUCACAGAGAAAACAAAGACUCCAUAAAAGACAAAGUAGAUGGCUCAUAAAUUGCUUUGGAAUGCAUAGCGUGGUUGGUGCAGCACCAAUACUCACAGCACAGCCAGUUGCAAGAGCCCCGCAAACAGCGACCAGUGUGCUAAAAACGAGAAGAGCCAUGACAGAAGAAUCGCUGGAAGAUGUGGAGUCGCCGUGAUUGCCACAAUUAGAGACUUCUUCUUUGAGAAGCAGAGAGCAUGUUGAGAGCCCAUCUUCUUCUUUGCCCUCUCUCUCCAUGUCUCUUUAUUUCUGAUGAGCAAGAAUUGCAAGGAAUGGACAAGAAGUACAAAAGGCAUUUGAGGCAGCCCUGAGAAGUAUUAGGUUCUGAUGAAAUAGUAUGUUGACUGGUGAUAAGAUAUAGCACCUGCGUAGCAAACACCAGCAGCUCACCAACAGCAAAAAAAGCCAGAAAAGGGUACAUGCUCUUGAAACAAAAGGCAGAAAAGCAAAAUAUUUCCCCAAGGAAUGAUGAUACUGAAAGGAGCUGUAGGAAACAUUCGAAAAGAAGUUUAAACACAGAUAAUAGGUUGCAAGUUACACUAAUAGUAAAAAGGGCGCCACAUUUUAACUUCAACUUUCCUCAGUUACUAGUCCACAACUGUUGCAGCAUGAUAUGCUGAAAAAUAGUGCACAUUCAUUCUGUUCUUUCACAAAGGGCACAUUACUACAUCGGAGACAAUUCCAACUUUUGUCCAUCGGUCUAUCUAAUUUACAAGCUCCAUAGGAGUAAUUCUGAAUUUUUCCACGCUCAAACCUUUCUAAAUUACAAAAUUUUAUUUUUAUCUUUUUAAAGCACUCACGUGUCCAUCAGAUUAUCAUCACUUCAUUCAAGCUUAGUUUGAAAGUGAUGGAGUAGUCAACAUUCCAUGCCAUAAAGGAUUGCUGCCCUCAUCUCUGUCCUAUAAAAUUCAAUAUUAAACAGAUUCUUGAAGUAUCAACACCAACAGCUCUCCCGCAUAGAGUAAAUUCAAAUUGUCCUGAACCCUGUUUGCAACUUGUGCACUAAAAUAUCUACAUCACAGAAUUCAUCCACCACCCAAUUUAGCAAGUCUUCCCAACAUCUCUAAGAUCAUAUGGGGUUAACUACUACUACCCCCAUCACCAGCAAAGGCUAGCCCACAUGCUAAGAACAACACGGAAACACGGCUAGACCGCAUAAACUCUCGAAUGCCUACAUCACUACCUCAGCUCAGCCUAGAGUCCCAAGAUUUCCACAGGAAGAGAGAGACCAAAUCGCUCCCAAGGAAAACAAUUCGAGCCCCGCGCAACUCAAAAAGAAGCAAGCUCGAACAAAGGAACGAAGAAAGCAACCUCAAACAGAGCCCUAAAAGAGCACCCGCCUCCUCUUUCACCACCACCAUAGCCAAUCGAAUUCGAAAAAAAAUUAACAGGAAAAUUCAACGAAGAAGAAGGACGCCAAAGCUCCUCGCGGAUCAAGAAAUCGAUGGAAGCACAGACCUGAGGGGUUUUCGGCCAUAGACGGCAACGAUCGACUGAUUCGGCGAUGACUAGGGUUCCGGCGUUGAGACGAGGGGUGGCGACGGUGACGGCGAGGCGGAGGCGCAUCGAUCGGAGGAGAGGCAGUCGUGAGCGAAGGCACAGUCGUCGGAGAAGAAGGCGGAGCCGAGAGGGAAAUGUCUGUGUCUGACGAUAAAGAAAGAUGAGGACGUGUUUACUGUUUGUGUUUGUGUUUGUGUUUGUUCGCUUGUUCGGAAGUAGGAGUUAACGUGUUUCGGGUCAAACAAUGUUCCAACCCUGACCCAACCCGAAACACGUUUCUUUACUUGUUUUAUAUGUGUUACCCGAACAGUAUCAAGACCCGAAACACGUAUCAUGCUUGUUUCGUGUUCGGGUCGUGUUCGGGUCGGGUCGGGUCGGGUCGGGUCGGGUCGGGUCGGAUUUUUUUGACACCCCUACCCGCAUCACACGAUCCUCGUGAGCGUGUGGAACUACUUCGGCCGGGUCUUCGCCGGGUUCGUCUCGGAGAUCAUAUACGACAAGUGGAAGAUGCCCCGCCCCGUCAUCAUGAUGCUCUCGCUCGUCGUGUCGGGGGUCGGGGACCUCCUCAUCGCGUUCCCAGCCCCCGGGUCGGUCUACGUCGCCUCCCUCCUCAUCGGGUUUUCCUUCGGCGCGCAGCUCACGCUCCUCUUCAUCAUCAUCUCCGGGCUCUUCGGGCUCAAGUACUACUCGACGUUGUUCAACUGCGGGCAGCUGGCGAGCCCCCUCGGGUCGUACAUCCUCAAUAUGCUGGUCGUGGGCAGGCUUUACGACGUGGAGGCGACAAGGCAGCUUGCGGCCAGGGGGCUGACACGAUCGGCGGCGAAGGAGCUGACCUGCGUCGGGAGGCGGUGCUACCGGACGUCGUUCAGCAUCCUGGCGGGCGUGAACGCGCUGGGGGCGCUCGUCUUGCUGGUUUUGGUCGUGAGGACUAGGGAGUACUACCAAGGGGAUAUCUACAAGAGGUAUAGAGAUCAAAUGGCUGAAAAUGAGAAGGGGAUUGCGUUGAGCAAUGCCGGCAUUGACGAGCCCGUGAAUGUAAAAGAUAGAAAGUGACAAGGAUCGAGUGAAGUUACGAACCCAUCUUCUUCUUUUUACUUUUAAGUUUUUCAUGCUUUAGUGCGAACACGAGUUGCUUAAUGUACACGAGUCUCCUCUUCCUGGUUCGUCUUAUUGUUUUUUGCCCUCAUAGAUUUCAAUCAGCGGACCUUCUUGAUCACGUUCUAAAGUUUCAUUUAAUCCAGUGAUUUUGACAAACUCAAUAGUAAUCAAUCAGAUUAAUUAUUAAGAUGAUUAACUGUUAUUGAAUCUUGGCCAAAACAGGGUACUCUUGAAAAGGAAAACACUGUGGAUAACUUUAUGAAAUUUGAAUCCCUUCGGCAGUUAAGUUAGAUGAGAUCGUCCCACUUGUAAUCUAAUCACCAGAAAGUAUUUUCAAGUUAUUUUCUUAUCGUCAUUAGUCGGAGUAGGUAGAGUCAAAUGUCAUGCAAAGUGGCUCAUGGGGCAGAUCCAAAUGGAGGUAAGGCCAAGACCCAUCUGAUUGACUCAAGGACCCGAAUUGCCCCCAGUCCAGCCCAAUAGCAUAUGUUGAUAUCGUGAUGCUCUUGGAGCGCCCAAGUUAUUAAAAUCACCUAAUUGGGUCGUGAAAUUCUGUUUUUUUUUUCGAGGAAAAUAGUUUGACAAUACUAGGGCUUUUCUCGGAUGAAUGAUCAACGUGAUGCUGCGAGAGCGCUCGCUAAUUUAUCGAUCACAUGCACAAAAUCAAAUGGAAAAAAGAAAAAACAUUCGAGCAAUUUGGAUAUCCCUUGUGUGGAUUUUCUUCCUCUGUCAUAAAAAAAGAAAAUGGGGUUCGUAGUUGAUAAUAAAUUAAUAAUAUUGAUCUUUCCCAACUCAAUAUCUUUUUUUAAUUGGUCCACAGGAAUGGUGUGGAGGAUUUUUAGCUCGGAAUCACCCAUUCGGAUUUCACGACAUGUGUGCAAACUGCUUAAUUCUAGGCCAAAAUCGCUCGCAUGGCAAGGAUAAUAUAUCCACGUUUAAUCGAGUUUCAGACCUGAGUAUGUGCUUAAACUGUUUCAUCUGAACUUUCAGACGAAAAUUCGAGGAUAUUUCCUUCUACACAAGGGAGAUAAAGAUAUACCCAAAAAUUAAGGGACUUUCUUAGGUGGAGAGAGAAGACUCUACCAUAACUCCUUCAAAAGUUGUUUGCAGGAGAUUGAAUGCCUCCAUCUCAAGAAGACUCCUUCCUUGUCCUCCUCAUGUGGCACCGGCAACCCCAUCGACGACUAAUGGUGGUGUGACCUGAACUGGGCCUCGAACCAGCGCCUGGUGAACUGCGGCAUCUGGUUCGGGCAGUCGGCGCUAGGGGGUUGUGACGGGCGCACCUACGUGGUCACCGACUCCUCGAACUCAGACGUGGUGGACCCGAAGCCAGGGACGCUCCGGUAUAGGGUCCUCCAGGAGGAGCCCCUGUGGAUCAUCUUCUCCGCCAACAUGAUAAUUUGGCUUAAGCAUGAGCUCAUCAUCAACAACUUCAAGACCAUCGACGGCCGGGGGCACAACAUCCAAAUCACCGGCAAUGGCUGCCUCACCAUCCAAGACGUCUCCCACAUCAUCAUCCACAACAUCCAUGUCCAUGACUACAAGCCCUCUGGCAACACCAACAUCCGGUUGUCGCCAACAAAAGUCGGGUUCCGUGGGGUGUGCGACGGGGACGGGAUAUUGAUAUUCGGGGCGUUGCACAUAUGGGUGGACCAUUGCUCCCUAUGGCACUACACCGACGGGCUGAUCGACGCCAUCAUGGGCUCAACGGCGAUCACCAUAUCGAACAGCUACUUCGCGCAUCACCUCACAAUGAGGUGAUGCCGCUGGGCCACAAGGAUACGUACGCCCCAGACUCCGAGAUGCAAGUGACCAUUGCAUUCAACCACUUCGGGGAGGGGCUGGUGCAGUGAAUGCCACGGUGCCGGCAUCCACGUGGUCAACAACGACUUCAUGGAGUGGCAUGUUAAAGUAUGUCUCGAGUUUGAGUCUAAUGCAAAAUUCCGAAUAUUCUGAUUUGGAUAUAUUAUGGACGUUCGAAAAGAAAUUGAGCAAAAAAUAUUCGAAAAUCAACUUCCCAAAGUUUGAAUCUGCAUUGGAGAAUUUUGCCGUUGAAAUAGGAAAGUUCAACUUUGAUUUGGAUUUGGAUUUUGUUUAAAAUAUACAGAGAUAUAUUUUGGAUAAAAUCGGGCAAGAUAGGAAACAGAAUCCUAUGAGAAGUUGGCAAAAGAAUAAAUGUCUCACUUAUAUAUAUAUAUAUAAACUUGUGGCCGUGGAUGGAAGAUGGUUGAUCAUGAAGAAGUUUUCUUGAAACGCCAUCUAGUCGUCGAAUGCUUGGGAGGGAUUUUUUUUGUCGUUCUUGUCUGUGAAUUACAUCCAAGAAAGAUUAGUUUUUGUAGCCGAUUUAAAUCUUGUGGUAAGAUUUUUUCGUGUAAUUCUUUCGUGAGAUUGAGAGAUUAUUUCUUGAGAAAUUUCGGUGCUAAACACUACAUGCGUUGUUGGGUAUAAUUGGGGUUUAGGAAACACCAUAAGAGUGUUUGAAUGACUUAAGUAUGUAAUCUCCUUGUAUUGCUUGAUCUAUAGUAAAAUUCGCCGCUACUCUCCCUGUGGACGCAGGUCUUUACGACCGAACCACGUAAAUCUGGUGUCCGAUAUAUUUUCUUCCUCUCUCUACAUUAUUGUUCAAUCGUUUGUUUUUUUCGUAACAAGUGGUAUCAGAGCUAGGUUUGGCUAAGUUGAAGUGAAUCGAUGGCGACAAAAGAAGUAAAAGUGAGAAUCGAUAGAUUUCAUGAAAAGGAUUUUAGUUUUUGGAAGAUGCAGAUUGAAGAUUAUCUUUACCGAAUGAAACUGCAUUUGCCCUUAUCUUGGGAGAAACAAGAGUCGAUGAAGCAAGCUGAUUGGGAUUUGCUGGAUAGACGAGCUAUGGGUAUUAUUCGACUGACGUUGACUCGUAACGUCGCAUUUAACAUCCUAAAGGAGAAGACCACUGCUGAUUUGAUGCAAGCCCUGUUGAAUAUGUACGAGAAGCCCUUUGCGAUCAACAAGGUCUAUUUGAUGCGACGUCUAUUUAAUUUGAAGAUGAGCGAAGGUGCAUUAGUUGCAGAUCAUAUCAAUGAAUUCAAUGUGAUUGUUAGUCAAUUGAGUUUGGUUGAGAUUGACUUUGAAGAUGAGGUACGUGCUUUGAUUCUAUUAUCCUCAUUGCCUAAUAGUUGGAAUACUACUGUUACUACUGUUAGUAAUUCCUCUGAGUCAACAAGUUUGGCGUUUGAUGGGGUUCGAGAUUUGAUCCUGAAUGAGGACAUUCGUAGAAGAGAAUCUGGCGAAUCUGUAUCUGCUGCUUUAGUAGGUGAAAAUAGAAGAAAAUCUAGAACACAUGUAGGUAAUAGUAGUACUAAUAUGAAUAGGCGUAACCAGUCUAGGACUAGUGAUGUUGUCUGUUGGAGUUGUGGCAAGAAGGGGCAUCUUAGAAGAAAUCACCUUAAACUGAAGAAUGAGAAGGAUAAGGGAAUUAUAGUUAAUUUUGCAAAUAAUGUUACAGCUAUAGCAGAUACUGUCGAUUAUGUCUUGUUUGUCACUAAUGAUUCAUCGUUUGAUGAAUGGAUUAUGGAUUCUGGUUGUUCUUUUCAUGUCACAACAAAUAGAAACUAGUUUAUCACUUAUCAAUGCACGGGUAGCGGUAAAGUCCAGUUAAGGAACAACGCUGAGUGCGAUGUUAUGGGUGUUGGUGAUGUUAAAAUCAGAAUGCAUGAUGGCAUUGUGAGGACAUUGACUGGAGUAAGACAUGUUCCAGAAUUGAAAAAGAACUUAAUUUCCUUUGGUGCUUUAGAUUCAGCUGGUUGCAGGUAUUCUUCAGAAUGUGAAGUUUUGAAAGUUGUUCGAGGUACUCUAGUGAUAAUGAAAGGAAUCAAGCAUGGAGGCAUGUAUAAAUUUCAAGGUGAGACAGUGACAAGUUUCACUGCAAAGAUGUCGGAUGCAUCUAUUCGAGAGUCUAUUGACUGCUCGAGGAAGACCUGGGUGUUUGUGCCAAUGCACAAGUUUGAUGCUGGUGUCAGGAUCACACGAUUGAGAGCUUUGAUCGAGACGAAGACUGGUAAGUCAAUCAAGCAUGUGUGGACUGACAAUAGGAUGGAGUUAUGCUCGGAGCUGGCAAAUAAAUUCUGCAUGAAAGAGGGCAUAGUGAAACAUUGCACUAGUACUAGUAAAUCACAACAAUUUGCAAAAUUGAUGAGUAGAACAAUACUAGAGACGGACCGUAAAAUGAUCUCUGGUGCUGGUAUUGCUAGGAGAAUCCUAACUGGUGUGCUUAGUACAAUAAGCUGCUUGGUGAAUAAAUUCCCAUCAACUGCUAUUGAAUGGCGGACUCCUAAAGAAGUGUGAUUAUGUAACGUUGCUGGUUAUUCUAUUAUUAGAAUGUUUGGUUGUUGUGUUAUUUUCAAGUGAGUGAUGGUAAGCUCGAUUGGAGGGCAAGGUGCAUAUUCUAUGGCUAUGCACAAGGUGAGUAGGGCGAUCUGUUGUGGUGCCCAGAUAUAAAUUCACCUAUUAACAGCAGAGAAAUUACCCUUGAUGAGUCUCCGAUACUUCUAACUAGGAGUGUUUGUGGCAGUGUUAAUAUUGAUCUAUACGUUGUUCAGCUUGAAGUGGAGUUGCGACCAGAAACUCCUAAGGUUAAGGGUGAGCAUGGUCCGGGUUGGUCCGGGCCACCCCCUAACCCUAGGACCAACCCGUACAGUGUCGGUCCUCAAUUUUUAAGACCGAGGACCGACCUUAUUGAGCCUGGGACCAAGGACCGGACCAACCCAAUGGGUUCGGUCCGGUUCCAAGGUCAACUUGGGACCAAUCUAUAAUUUUUUUCAUCUUUUUUUUUUAUACUCCCUAAAAAAGCAAACCUACAAAAGUAUCUCAAUCAGUGUAUGAAAUCGACAAUGUAGCAUAUAAGACGAAAAAAAGUAUCUCAAUAAUUUUUUUUCGUCUUGUAUAUACAUAACUAGAUCUAAUGAAUUUUUUUCAUCAUGCAUAUACAUAACUAGAUCAAACACAAAGCUUCCCAGGUUCUUCUCCAACAGUAGAUAAGCCACUAGGACAGAAGGAAAAAACAGGCCUAACUCUACGGUCUAUCUAAAUGCCCGCAUUCCAAAAUUGCAAGAGCCAUAGUGAUUUGAAUAGAAUAUACAUUAUACAUAAAAGGUAUUAGUUUUACAGACAGAUUAUUCACCGGAGGGGGGAGAACCCAUUUUUCGCAUUGCAAGAUCUACAACGCUCCUCGGACAGUACAACAGUGUCUCGGAUGUCGCUGAUAAAGCCUCGGCACUAGUCACAGGACAUCUUUUCUGCGACAACUAUAGCCUUGUCCGGCUGCUCCUGUGCUAAAUCUUCCUUUUCAGCUUCUGCAGCUACUUCAAGAUUUGCUCCCGAAUGUUGUCGAUGGUAACGCAGAACCACGACAGAUAUGAACGCUGUCAAGAGACCAAUACCAAACUGUCAAGUUAAGUAGACACUGAUGCUCUGAACAAGUUUAGUCGUCAACAACUACUUCACAAAAGUCUACACCGCGUCUUAAAUUUCAGAGACUCGUCUUUUUAAGUUCACCUGUGAGCAAGCGAGUUUUUAUAGUCGUCAGGUUCCAGAAGGCCAUGAUUGCUUAUGCGGCCACGAUUUUCUUGUGGGAGCAAGCAACCCACGCUUCAAGAACCCACCAUUUGGAGCACUCAACUAUACAAACCGAGGUACGCUUAGUCUAUAAGCAUAAGCAGGUAAAAUUUAUAUAGGUUAUCAGCAAACGUAUGUACCUUUUUGGCUUAUCCGAGCUGAAUAGCGCAAGUAUAGUUUCGGGGCGAUGAAGCUGACAAAGAACCCUGCUCAAAGUCAAAAAGAAUAAGGCAUUAAUAUUCAUUGCAAAACAGGUUCUCACUUUGGUGCAGUACAAUUAUGAGCUUGCUCUCACUAACCAAUUGCGCAUAGCCUCCGAAGCGUGAUGAGAUGGCCAUAUUCAGCUCCAAGAAGGAGAAACGGAGCUACCUGAUCAGGAAAAAAACAAAAAAGUCUAUCAAGGAUGAACGACCUAAGCAAUCUGCAUAUAAGGAUUGAACAUGAAUACUAGCCCACCACCACGACGUACUUUUAGGGUCAUGGAUGGCUCUCCCGAGAAAAGCUCUCGCCUCUUUGAAAUUGCGAGAUUAGCAGCAGGAAGUAUCAAUCUAGCCACUCUCAAGAUGUCAUCUUCUUUUAACUGGAUGUCACGCCUCUUCUCAAUAUUAUUCCUGCAUCAGCGCUGCACCUUAGCUCACAAAUUUAUCCAAAUGGAGAAACAGAGCAAACGCUAGAGUGAGACUAUACCUUUGACAGAUGGAAUUGGAGAAGAAAGAUAACCCCAAAAAGAGAAGCCCCAGUUGGCAAAUUGCAGAGCAAAUGCUUAUAACAUAAGCCAUCACGAAGAUAAUCAGAUAUCACCCUUCACCAGGUGCUCUUGCAAUCAAAAACCCAUGUAGACAUAAGCCAAACAAACAAAAAAUGACUUCAUCACACCUGAAGCUGAUUCCUUGAGCAAAGCAAGAAGACAAGAAGCAAAGAGACCCUACACCAAACCAGAGCGUCGAUUUCGCGACAUCUCUCCACAAUAUCAAAUCAGUAAUCCCCUGUCCGAUUCGGUCCAGAUUCUUAUUGUCCCUCAGUAAAAUCAGUUCCUUCACAAAAAGCAAAUCGAACAUCCAACUCUGCAAGAUUAGGAACAUCCAUCAACAAUGCGGCAUUGUGCAACUAAACUAUAAAUACCAUUAAUAUUAGUGCUAUUGAUAGAACAUCUCACCAUAUAUAUUCAUUCAAUGUGCAAGCUCUAUUUAUUGAUGGUAAUCUCCUUAGUAAGACAAUCCAUAUCUGAAAAAAAGAAUUCAUUCAUUAGAUCUACAAACGAAUUAACAAGGAAAAAGAAAUAUGCAUAAUUUAAGCUUACCCAAUUCAAACUUUUCAGCAUUUUCAAUGCACUCUUCAACAUUAAUAGGCACACGAGCAGCUCUCAACCAGUCUUGAGUACAAAUUAAAGCUUCCACCACUCUAGGAGUCAAAGAACUUCGAAAACCAUCAAGCACACGGCCCGAAGUACUAAAAGCCGACUCUGAAGCAACGGUAGUUACAGGAAUGGACAAAACAUCUCGAGCUAUCAAAGAUAAGAUUUUAUAUUUUGAACCAGUACUCUUCCACCACAUCAAAAUGUCAAGAUCAAGAAUAUCUUCAGAUUCUUCUUCAAGAUACCGUUCAAGCUUCGAUUUGCUGUCAUCACGCCCCCUUUUCUUUUGGUGGAAAAAGUUUUUUCGCCAAGCUUUGAUGUUAACCUCAUCACUCUCAUCAUUUCCAUCGAUAUUGGAAGCACUGCUACUAUCAACAGGUAUAGAUUGACCACCCAAAUAUUGAUGACCAUGACUAGAAAAAGAUUGCUCAUAAAAUGCAUAUAAACGCUCCAGCACGUACUUCACCUUAUCAUGCAUUUCUUCAAUUUUUGCUUCAUCAUCAUUGCUCAAAACAAAACUUCACAUAAUGCAACCUUAUUGUAGGAUCUAAUGCCACUGCAAUUAAAACCAUCAUGUUUACUUUAUCCAAACUCCCAUAGUAUUUAUCAAACUUCCCCUUCAUCUUCACACCCAUAGCUCUAAGCUUGGGAUCCAAAGCAUUACUUGCAUCUUUCAAAUAUUUAUAUAAAAAAGCUAUCCCCUCAAAAUGAUCAUUCGAAGUGGUAUAUAAACUCCCUGACAUUUGAUUGGUAGCAUCAUAAAACUGCUUCAGAAAUUUGGAAAGAAUAGUGGCAUUUUCCCAAUCUUCAUUUUUAGGAGGAUCAUUGCUAAGCUCAGAUUGGAAAGACAAAUCAUCUUCUGCCAUCCUUUCAAAAGCUUUUCUGAAUUUUAUGGUCGUGUGUAAUAUGAGAUAAGUGGAAUUCCAUCUAGUGGCAACAUCUAAACAAACCGAACCCUUAUGAGUGAUUCUUUCAACCUCAAUGCAAGAUUGGAAAGCUUUAGCUCUCAUGGGAGAACUCCUCACAUAUCUAACAAUGUUUUGGAUGCGUGCAAUAGAAUCACGUACCUCAGACAAGCCAUCUUUUACAAUCAAGUUCAAUAUAUGAGCAGUGCACCUCAUGUGUAAAGCCUCACCAGCUAAGACCAAUGACCCAUCUCUUGAAAAUUUAUCUUUCAAAUAAUCAAUGGCAACAUCAUUCACACUAGCAUUAUUCACUGUGAUUGUAGACACAUUUUUUCCUAUUCUCCAUUCAUAGAUGCAUUUUUCAAGUAUUUUCCCAAUCUCCCUGCCUUUGUGACUGUGUAUCACCACAAAAUUGAUGAUCCUUUUGUGUAAUUUCCAGUUUUCAUCAAUGAAAUGUGCAAUAAGACAUAAAUAGUUCAGAUUUUGAACAGAAGUCCAUGUAUCAGUCGUGAGUGCAACCCUUGAUCUAAGCUUACCAAAGAAAGCCUUCAAAGAAAUUUUUUCAUUUAUAUACAACUUGAUGCAAUCUCUAGCUACCGUAAAUCAUGACAAAUGUGUGAAGAGAGGUUGUAUCUCAGUAAUAAAAUCACAAAAUCCAGCACGCUCAACCAAAGAAAAUGGUUGUUCAUCAACGAUGAUCAUCCGAGCAAGCAUGUACCUAGACCGGUCUUGAUCAAAUUUCCAUGUUGUUAAGAUAUUACCACUGUCAUUACCAGUACCAGUAUCUCCCCUUGCCUUGCCAAGCACAUUUGCAUCACGUGGUGCAAACAAUUUUUGCCUCCUAUCUAUAUUGGGAGGAUACUUAUUGCACUUUUUCAAAUGCUUCAACAUUGUUGAAGUACCAUUGUUAACAGUAUAUGAGUACUCCUUUCCACAAUGAAUGCACUUUACCAUACAUGUUUUUUUUGUCUUCUCAUCUAUGAUUAUUGAAAAAUUAUCCCACGCAAUAGAUUUAUCCGUUUUUCGCUUCUUACAAAGAGGAGGAUGAUUAGUGGAUACCUUGGUUGACUCUUUUAAGUUUUCUUCACAUCCAUGGCUAGACGAUUCCAUCAUAGGACUGAUCUCGUAGCAUCCCUCCACUUCAGUUGAAAUUUUAUCUAAAUCCAUCAAGUUCACCUGAAUAUUUAAGUACCAGCACGUAAGCUUCAGCGCUGCAAUCACUGAUGAAACAAAAAAUAUCAGCUAUGGUUUCAUUUUUGAGGUGGCAACAUCAAAUAGCUAUUCAGAAACUACAUGCAGCAAAUAAUAGAAAAAUGCAACAUCAAAUAGCUAUUUAUAUGUUGGGUGGUUGAGAACCAUGACCGCUACUAGUCUUGACAAGGAAAAGGUUGAGGGGGGAAAAGAAAUUUUACCAGGAAAGAAAAUGCAGAAGUUAAGUGAUAAAGAAAAAGUGAUCUUUAGAAUGAUUUCCCUAAAGAGAAGGAAAAUUGACAAACUUGGGAUCUACGGAAAGUUACCAGGUUGUACCACUUUUCAAGGGUGUGAUUCAUUCAAAUUAGUAGUAGAAUAGCAUAUCAGAACCUUGUGAUAGGCACUUCACUAGAUCCGAAUAUUUGCCAACAUGAGGCAUCGAGCAGAAUUUAUGAAGGCCUAAACAUAGUAAGAGGAGCUGAAGUAAUCAACAAAAUCAUAAAUUGAGGUCAAAAGAGCAAAAGGACACAAAGCCGAAAAAGAAAAAGUGGGCACUUUGUUCUGAAAUUUAAUUAUUAUCCAGAUUAAACUAUAGCUACGUAGCAUCCAUAGUUACUCGAUAAUGAUGAGUUCAUAAAGUUUAGAGAGUUUGCCGGUGCAUAUCUAUAAUAAAGUGAUUUUUACCUUGCCACGCGACUCCCAAGUCAAGUGAAUUUGGCUUGAUUCUUGUGCCAAAUUAAGUCGAUUCUCUGGGAAAGUCGUUAGCACUACAAUGAUGGAGCCUGCAACCAAUAGAAAAAGCCAAUUUCUUAGAAAAUCCACAGGACAAUUUGAACCCAUACUUGUAGGAAAUUCUUAUUUCAUCCCAAAAUGCUACAAUUUUUUUUUAGCAUUACCAAUUGUAUGCUCAUUGUCAAAUUGAGUGGCCUUGCUUCAGUUGCUAAGCCCAUGAACCUGCUCUUUUUAAAUCAGGAAAUACACAAAAGAGAGCCAAGAAGUUGAUCCUCUUGUGAUAUACGCACAACUUCAAAUUAUUUUUCCUGACUUCGAUUGAUCAUGUCUCCCAUGGUAUACAAUCGUGAACUUAGCUCAAAGACCGGUCUCCAAAAUGCUUGCACGCUACUAUGAUUGGGUCAGCAAAUAGAGAGUAGAGGGCAUGACGACUGACGAGGGGCAGACAGUCCAGGCAAGUCCCCCUGUUGUAAGUGAGAAACUUAAAAAACAAACAGAAAAAUGUGUUCCCGAGUGAGUAAUUAAAACAGAUAAAAAUGCCAAGGAGUGUACUUCCAUUAAGAGCCAACCUACUGAUCAGCAAAGUAAUUCAAUUGAUGCACUGGAAAAGACAACGGAAAUUACAUCAUAUGGGCCUGACUACGAUGAAGUUGAUUGUUCUUCUCAAGACGUCUAGCAUUGGGAAUGUUUGACAAUGGCGUUCAUGUUCACCCAUCAUCAAAUGCUUUUCAGAAAAUCCUUUGCAGAGCAAAGGAGAAGAUACUUCAGGUAGCUUUCAUACACUCGCAGCCAUGUUCAUACACGUACACAAAGCAAACAUGGAAAAAAAAUCAACACAAAUCAAGAGCAUACAUGAGGUUGAAGAUCUCAAAUGAAGCACAAAGUAGAACUCACUAGCCAAGUUGUGUUCGGAAAGCAAGGGUGAGCCGAGCGUUAGGGUUUCUAAUUAGGGAUUCUUCUUUUUCCUUCUGAUUUACUCGGCGAUAAGCGAGGCGACCGGCGCGAGUGGCGAGCGGCAAGUGCGAGCAUUGAGUGGGGCGAGCCUUAACUGGCGAGCAGCAAGAGUUGAGCGAGGCUAGCGGCGAGCGGCGAGCGUUAAGCAAGGCUAGCGGUGAGUGGCGAGUGGCGACUAAUACCCAGCCAAACCGGUCACGUACACAAAGCAAACAUGGAAAAAACAAAUCAACACAAAUCAAGAGCAUACAUGAGGUUGAAGAUCUCAAAUGAAGCACAAAGUAGAACUCACUAGCCAAGUUGUGUUCGGAAAGCAAGGGCGAGUUGAGCGUUAGGGUUUCUAAUUAGGGCUUCUUCUUUUUCCUUCUGAUUUACUCGGCGAUAAACGAGGCGACCGACGCGAGUGGCAAGUGGCAAGUGCGAGCAUCGAGUGGGGCGAGCGUCAACUGGCGAGCGGCAAGAGUUGAGCGAGGCUAGCGGCGAGCGGCAAGCGUUAAGCGAGGCUAGCGGUGAGUGGCGAGUGGCGAGGGUUCAGCAAGGCCAGCAACGACAGCAAAGGGCUUGUAGCAAGCGGCAAGCGGCGCGAGCGGCACGGGCAACCAGAGGUGAGCGGCGCGGGCAACCAGAGGCGAGCAAGGAUGCUGUUACUUUUGAUUUUGGCAAAAUUGAAGAACAAAGAAGACAAAAUGGAAGAGAACAUACUUUGGGGAAGGAAGCCGCGAGGAGAUUUACGGCGUAGACUUUCCACCGUUUUGGACGUUGCGAGUCCGUCACUGUGAAGACUCCAUGGUCUUCACGGUGAAGAACACUCUGGAUUGUGGACUCUGACUGUGGAGGAGGACGCCGUGAAGACCUUGACGGCGUAAACUUCACGCCUUUUGGAUGCCGUUUGUCCAAGACAGUGAGCUGAGGAGUCAACUUUAACCUAAUUUUACUUAGGUUUGACCGUUUUAAUAUAUAAAAGAAUUAUUCCUUACCAAAAAAAUAUAUAAAAAAAUAUAAAUAAUAUAAUAUAAAUAAUAUAAUAUAAAUAAUAUACAGGGUUGGUCCGGGUUGAACCAACCCAAAACUCUUAGGACCGAGGACCAACCCGCACAGUGUUGGACCAAAGACCAACCCAGUCCCCUUGAAAACCGGACCAGGACCGGCAGGGUUGGGCCGGUCCAGGGUCGGUCCAGGGUCGACCCUGAACCGCUGCUCACCCCUACCUAAGGUAGCAAGUACGAGUACUAGCAAAGUAAUUAGCAUGGAUGGUGCUUGUAGCGAGGUGGAGCCUAUAGAACCAAUGGUUACUGCAACUGUUGAAAUUAACAAGGUACGUAUUCGAUCUUUUGAUAGAUAUGGAUACAAUAAUGAUUUUACUUUGUCUGCGGUUAAGGAGGUUGCGUCGGAAAAUCCUUGUGAAAUAGUUAAAAGUGCAUGUGGAGUUGGUAUUUUGAUGAGGUUCUUGAUUAUGGCGAAGUUCAAGCGAGGCUUGGACUUGGAUAAUAUCUGUGGCGGUUGAGCCCAUUGGGGGUUAUGGAAGAGUAGCAGCAGAGUUUGAACUUUUGCGAAACGAUUGCAACUUAACUCAAACGUCGAGCCAAGAUGGAGAUUGUUAAAAUAUGUCUCGAGUUUGAGUCCAAUGUGAAUUCCAAAUAUUCCGAAUUGGAUAUGUUACGGACGUUCGAAAUUGAGCAAAGAAGAUCCAACGAUCAACUAUCCAAAGUUUGAAUCCACAUUGGAGAAUUUGGCCGUUGAAAUAGGAAAGUUCAAUUUUGACUUGGACUUUGAUUUUGUUUAAAAUAUACAGAGAUAUGUUUUGAAUAAAAUCGGGCAAUAUAGGAAACGGAAUCUUAUGAGAAGUUGGCAAAAGAAUAAAGGUCUCGCUUAUAUAUAUAGACUCGUGGCCGUGGAUGGAAGAGAGUUGAUCAUGAAUGAGUGUUCUUAAAGAGCCAUCUAGUCGUCAAGUGCUUGGGAGGGAUUUUCUUUAUCGUUCUUGUCUGUGAAUUACAUCCAAGAAAGAUUAGUAUUUGUAGCUGAUUUAAAUCUCGUGGUAAGAUUUACGUGUCAUUCCUUCGUGAGAUCAAGAGAUUAUUUCUUGAGGAAUUUCGAGGCUAAACACUGCAUGCGUUAUUUGGUGUAAUUGUGACUUGGGAAACACCAUAAAAGUGUUUGAGUAACUUGAGUAUGUAAUCUCUUCGUAUCGCUUGAUCUAUAGUGAAAUUUCCUACUGCUCUUCCCGUGGACGUAGAUCUUUACAACUGAACUAUGUAAAUUUGGUGUCCAAUAUAUUUUAUUCUUUUGUCUAUAUUAUUGUUCGAUUGCUCGUUUUUUCGCAACAUGGUAAAUGUACGCCAUCAACGGCAGCACUGAAAAUGCUAGUAUGAAAACCUAGAGCAGCAGCACUGAAAGUGCUAGUAUGAAAACCUAGAGGGGAGUGAAUAGGUGUAAAAACAGAUUAUGCAAAAUGCAGUGAAAACAUUUACUUUUAACCUGAGUCUAAAUAAUAGCAGACUUUUGAAACUGAGUCUGAAGAGCAGCAGACUUUGAGCGAGAUCAGACUUUAGUAGUUAAAUAGAACUACGAACAAAAUAAAGAGAUUCAGGGAAGAGAAUAAGAACACAAGAUUUAUAGUGGUUCGGCUUAAUUCAAGCCUAAGUCCACUCUCCCACGCUAACAGCUUUCUUGGCUGGAUUCCAUUAUGCAAUCAAUAAGAGAUUACAACUUUGAAUGCAAACACUUAGUAGUACAUCACACUAUCUAACUAAGUCACUCUUUUGGUAUUUCUCUCACGAUCACAAAUGUUUAAGCUCACAAGAGAUAAGUGUAUGAAUAAAGAUCACACAGACUUUGGAAUUAUAAAUUAUAUACUCCGUCUCUUACUUGAUCAUUGGUCCUUCAUUUCCUUAAAUACUCCUCCACUUCCAAACUAGCCGUUGGACAAUAUCUCGAGGAUCGUCUUCCAAUCUACCCGUUGGACAGAUCUGUAUCUAAAAGAUUUAGUAGCUGUUGAGUGACAAAAGUAGAAUCCCAAAUUGAUUCCGAUCGCCCAUACAAACAGAAUCUUGGUUUCCAUAAGUAGAGCUUCUUCGUAUAAAAAGUUUUUGUCUUGAAGAUCCAAUUGUCAAUCAAUUAGAUUGAGUCAAUCAAAUCAAUCUUGAUGUGGAAUCCAAACCAUAUCACUGGCUAUUAUAUGAUUGGGGCUUGUAUUACGUUCGGUCGAAUUUGGAUGUAAAGUCUGAGUGCAAUAGACUUUACAAUCUGAGUCUAAACAUAUUCUGCUUCUGAACAGUUUUAGCUUUAAGGUCUAAACACAGUCUGAAUAAGUUUAGCUUCAGCGUAGAGUCUAUUUUCUGAUUCAGCUUCAACAUAGAGUCUAUCUUCUGGCCGUCUUCAGACUUUGACAAUAUCAUUUAUAUGUUCUAUCAUUUGCAUGGUUUAUUACUUAACCAUUAAACACAUUAAUUGCCUUUGAUUUAUUUUAUCAUCUUCAAAACAUCAUAAGGGAUUUUUCUAACAAUCUCCCCAUUUUGAUGAUGACAAAACAAUCUCUGAAUAUGCAGAUUUGUAAACAUACUUUUAAAAAUAUUAAUUUAAAUCAAAUGAUAUUAGAAGAUAUCAAAUAGAUUGAGCAUAACAAUAUAUAGAAAAUAAUCGCAGCUCAAUAUUAUGCGAUAAAUAAUAUCAACCAAUCAACACAUAUGCAUAUUCAUAUAUUCUCCUCCUUUUUGUCAUAAUCAAAAAGCGAUAAUAAUGAAAAUAGUAUCAUGUAGAGGAUAUAAAAGUAUAACAAAUAUCUUGCAUGAAACACAAUUUCCAAAAAAUCAGCUUUUAUCGAAUAUUAAAGAUAUGCAAUAUAGCUCACUUCGAUUAUAUCAGCAAAUAUCCAAUAAAAAACACAGAUGCAUUAUAAAAUUCACUUAUCAUUUUUGUCAUAACAAAAUGAUAAUAUCAAUAAGAGAUUUAUUAAUGACAAAAGGUAAUAAGAAAUGCACUGACCGGAUUUUGUAGAACUUAAAUUCUGAUGCAUUUACCUUCUCCUUCUUUCCAUAACAAGAUCACGAUCAAUCUAAAAAGAUUUUUCCAUAAUUGAUCAAAGCUCCCCCUCAAUUUGUAGCAUUUUUGAGAUGAUCACGAUUCUUUUCUUUCUCUUAAAUUCACGUUCUCACCCUGUGAUUAUGACAAUAUUUGCGAAUAUAAAAAAUUGUUUGCACAAGUUGAACAGAAUAUUUUUCAAUAUUUCCUUUGUAGCGACAACAUUCGCAACGACCACUUGCAUUUUGAAAUUCGAGGAAAAAAAUUAUUUUCUUCAAUCAAGCUCUUCUCAAAUUUAACCUGCAUCAACUUAACAAACUUUUUGCACAAAUAAGCUGUAAUAAUAUCCACAUAAUAUAUAAUGCCAUUUCUUCAAAUAAAUACGUUGAAUAACAUAUAUAAAAUUAUCAAUUAUUAAAAUUCUGAACUACUCAACCUUCCAUAUGACACAUAAGGGAUUUCCUUAACAAUUUGCAAAAACUUUGCACAAGGAAUGGAAUUUUUGAACCUCUAGAAGAUAGUAUAGAAUCUUCAUAAUUUUCAGAUCGAGCUUUCCAAAAUUCAUAUGGAAGAUUCUAUUGUCACCUGCAAAAUCUUGUAUAAUAGAUAAUUAUCUUUGCAAAAACGUCACGUAAUAUCUUCAUUUGAUUUGUGGAUCAAACUUGCUAGAUAUAAUAUAUCUUCUAAGAAUAUAGCAAUAAUAUCAAUGGACGCGCAAACCCCUGGAGUGCCUUAACUUUGGCCAAAUGGACACUUAAGUGCCAUAACUUACGAAAGGUACACUUAAGUGCCAAAAUCAAAGUAAAAUGGAUCACUUGAGUGCAAAUCCGGCGAAAAUCCGGCCAAAAUGUCGACGUGGCACUUUUCCGGCGAAUCGAGCUCAAAACGACACCGUUUUGCACGCUGACGUGGCCAAAAUGGCGUUGUUUUGGCUGACGUGGCAAAAAAAUAAAAUAAAAUAAUUAAUUAAAUUAAAUUUAUUUAAAAUAUUUAAAAAUAAUAACUUUAGAUAAAUUUAGUUAAAAUAUUUUAAAUUAAUAAUUUUGAAAUUAAAUUUAGUUGAAAUAUUAAAAAGUUAAUAAUUUAUAUAUUAAAAAAAAAAGGAAAGGGGGGGAGGCGGCUGAGGGAUUAGCCCUCAACCGCCGCCGCCGCCGCCCCGCCGUCGCCGGGAAGGGCCGGCGACGGCAGGGGGAGGGUCAGCCGAGGUCGCCGGGCCCUGGCCAGGGGCUGGCGACCCCGGCCGACUGGCGGCGAGGGCUCGCGAGCCCUCGCCCCGAUCUGGGUUAAGGGUCGCAGCCCUCACCCAGAUCCAGCGAGGGUCGGCGGCCCUCGCCACAGAUCCGGCAAGGGCUCGCAAGCCCUCGUCGCCAGUCGGCCGGGGUCGCCAGCCCCUAGCCAGGGCUCGACGACCCCGGCCGACCGGUCACGAGUUUUCUCCGGGCCAAGUGGGUUCCCUGGCGGGGGCCGCUCCAUUUCGUAGACUGAGGAAAAUUUUGGUUUUUCUUUUUCUCCUGGUUUCCUUGGAAUUUCCAGCUUUUUUCAAUUGUAUGAUACCCUCAUUUACAAUAAUCACUAUACAUUUUACCUUUCCCUUUUGAGGGGGUUAAUUUUUGCUCCGAAAGAAGGACUUGAUGAGUGCUGAGUAACUCGGGCCAAAAUAGCGUCAUACCAAUCAUCUGAUCAUGGCAACAAAUUGCCACUCGCAAUAUGCCCAUCUGAACNNNNNNNNNNNNNNNNNNNNNNNNNNNNNNNNNNNNNNNNNNNNNNNNNNNNNNNNNNNNNNNNNNNNNNNNNNNNNNNNNNNNNNNNNNNNNNNNNNNNNNNNNNNNNNNNNNNNNNNNNNNNNNNNNNNNNNNNNNNNNNNNNNNNNNNNNNNNNNNNNNNNNNNNNNNNNNNNNNNNNNNNNNNNNNNNNNNNNNNNNNNNNNNNNNNNNNNNNNNNNNNNNNNNNNNNNNNNNNNNNNNNNNNNNNNNNNNNNNNNNNNNNNNNNNNNNNNNNNNNNNNNNNNNNNNNNNNNNNNNNNNNNNNNNNNNNNNNNNNNNNNNNNNNNNNNNNNNNNNNNNNNNNNNNNNNNNNNNNNNNNNNNNNNNNNNNNNNNNNNNNNNNNNNNNNNNNNNNNNNNNNNNNNNNNNNNNNNNNNNNNNNNNNNNNNNNNNNNNNNNNNNNNNNNNNNNNNNNNNNNNNNNNNNNNNNNNNNNNNNNNNNNNNNNNNNNNNNNNNNNNNNNNNNNNNNNNNNNNNNNNNNNNNNNNNNNNNNNNNNNNNNNNNNNNNNNNNNNNNNNNNNNNNNNNNNNNNNNNNNNNNNNNNNNNNNNNNNNNNNNNNNNNNNNNNNNNNNNNNNNNNNNNNNNNNNNNNNNNNNNNNNNNNNNNNNNNNNNNNNNNNNNNNNNNNNNNNNNNNNNNNNNNNNNNNNNNNNNNNNNNNNNNNNNNNNNNNNNNNNNNNNNNNNNNNNNNNNNNNNNNNNNNNNNNNNNNNNNNNNNNNNNNNNNNNNNNNNNNNNNNNNNNNNNNNNNNNNNNNNNNNNNNNNNNNNNNNNNNNNNNNNNNNNNNNNNNNNNNNNNNNNNNNNNNNNNNNNNNNNNNNNNNNNNNNNNNNNNNNNNNNNNNNNNNNNNNNNNNNNNNNNNNNNNNNNNNNNNNNNNNNNNNNNNNNNNNNNNNNNNNNNNNNNNNNNNNNNNNNNNNNNNNNNNNNNNNNNNNNNNNNNNNNNNNNNNNNNNNNNNNNNNNNNNNNNNNNNNNNNNNNNNNNNNNNNNNNNNNNNNNNNNNNNNNNNNNNNNNNNNNNNNNNNNNNNNNNNNNNNNNNNNNNNNNNNNNNNNNNNNNNNNNNNNNNNNNNNNNNNNNNNNNNNNNNNNNNNNNNNNNNNNNNNNNNNNNNNNNNNNNNNNNNNNNNNNNNNNNNNNNNNNNNNNNNNNNNNNNNNNNNNNNNNNNNNNNNNNNNNNNNNNNNNNNNNNNNNNNNNNNNNNNNNNNNNNNNNNNNNNNNNNNNNNNNNNNNNNNNNNNNNNNNNNNNNNNNNNNNNNNNNNNNNNNNNNNNNNNNNNNNNNNNNNNNNNNNNNNNNNNNNNNNNNNNNNNNNNNNNNNNNNNNNNNNNNNNNNNNNNNNNNNNNNNNNNNNNNNNNNNNNNNNNNNNNNNNNNNNNNNNNNNNNNNNNNNNNNNNNNNNNNNNNNNNNNNNNNNNNNNNNNNNNNNNNNNNNNNNNNNNNNNNNNNNNNNNNNNNNNNNNNNNNNNNNNNNNNNNNNNNNNNNNNNNNNNNNNNNNNNNNNNNNNNNNNNNNNNNNNNNNNNNNNNNNNNNNNNNNNNNNNNNNNNNNNNNNNNNNNNNNNNNNNNNNNNNNNNNNNNNNNNNNNNNNNNNNNNNNNNNNNNNNNNNNNNNNNNNNNNNNNNNNNNNNNNNNNNNNNNNNNNNNNNNNNNNNNNNNNNNNNNNNNNNNNNNNNNNNNNNNNNAUAUGCACAACCGUCGAGGUCAAUUAGAAAGGGGUAUCAUAUUCUUAAACCCUUAAAGACAAUCCGACUUUAAUUGAGGAUGCAAGUUCUUGAAGAUGGAUUCUCAUUUACAGAGCCCCCAGCUUCGAGAAUCACCGUUCAGAAUCGACGAGAGCCAGGGCUCAGGGUUACACCCUUAGGGGCCUCCCCCCCUUUCCUUUUUUUUUAAGAUUUUUAAUUAUUAUUUUUUAAUAUUUCAACUCAAUUUAAUUUUAAAAUUAUUAUUUUUAAAUAUUUUAACUAAAUUUAAUUUUAAAAUUAAUUUUUUAAUUUUUUUUACCAUGUCAGUCCAAAACGACGUCGUUUUGGGCGCGCUUUGCCGGAAGAACGUCACGUUGGAGUUUUGGCCGGAUUUUGGCCGGAGUGGCACUCAAGUGAUCCGUUUUUCUUCGAAUGUGGCACUUAAGUGUACCUUUCGUAAGUUAUGGCAUUUAAGUGUCCCUUUGGCCAAAGUUAUGGCACUUGAAGCGUUCUUUUGCCAAUAUCAAUGAAUAUGCAGUAAUAUCUUUCGAGAUCAAAGAGAUUUUCUUGAGUAUAAAUUUCAGAUAUGCAUUUUACAAAAGGAAAAUAGAUAUUUUUGUCACGUGCCAAAUCAAGUAAAAAAUAUUGCAAUGCCUUAUAUUUAUGAGAAGAAAUACUUGCAAUAUAAAUGAUAAGCAAUCAUUCAAAAUCUGGAUAAAUGCAUGUAGAAAUUUGUAAGGCGGGAUAAAAAAAAAAUUCUCUUACCCAGGUAUAUGUUUCAAAUAUACCAUUGAUUUAAAAAAAUCAUUACCAAUCUUCGCAUGAGAUUCUUUUCUUAUUGCACCAAAAUCUGCAUAGAUUUGCAAUCAUUCUUGCCUUAUUAAAUUUCCUGCAAUCAACUCAUUUCCUUUUUGGUAUCCAUCAAUUUGGAUCCUUCCAUGACGUUAGAGCAAAAUAUAAAAUCUCAUAGUUAAUCAAAUAUUCUUUCUAAACUCAUCAUAACAUGUUAUUUAAGGAAAGAAUAUUAUGCACAAUAAUAUCUCGAAAAAUAAAUUCUCACUUAGUCAUAAUACGAUAAAAUCAGAGAGAAUAAAUCUUUGAAUAUCUAAGAAUAUUUUGCAUCAUCACGUAAAACAGAUUUUCACUUUGCAAAAUAUGACUAAAUCUGAGAGUAUAAAAUUAGACAAAAUAAUUUGAAUUAUCUCAAAUAAUCACACGUAUUAAAUCAAAUCUCAACUUACGAAUCACAAACAAAUCAUACGAUUCUUUCUUCAAUGAAACAAAAUAUGAUCAUUAUAAAAUCUCAAUCAACCAAGGAUAUAUCGAAUAUCAAGUAUAAUGAGAAAUUUUAAAUUGUGUACUCAAACCAAAUUGAGAAUAAAUAAUAUAUAUACAUACAUUCUUUACCAAACUAUCAUUCUUCUCUUCCUUUAUUUCCUGCAAAAGUAACUUAUCUUUUCUUUGGUACCCAUUUUUUCUUGGGUCCAUGAGAGUUAGUAGAAUAUGUUGUUUUUAUCCAAUUUUUCUUAAUAGGUCUCCAGACUUUAGGACAUUCUUUCUCAAAGUGUUUCAAAUCUCCACAAUUUGAACACUUGAGGGCAUUUCCACCAACAGGUUUUACAAACACUUUUUGAAAAGGAUUUUUAUAAAAUGCCUUUGGAGGUCUUUGUUUAAGUCUCUCCUUGACUUUAGGAAAGUCAAUUAGAGAAUCACUUUCCAUUUUUAAACCAAGUCCCAACUUAUUAUAGUAAGGUACUUGCAUGGAAAGGAUAUACUCUAAUGUUUUUGAACCAUUUGAAAAUCUUGUCGAAAUAUUUAAAAAUUCCCUUUUUAAAGAAUCAUUUUCUUUGACAAGUAAAUCUUGACUUUCUUUUGUUUGUAGAAAAUCUUUUUGCAAAAUUUCAAACUUUUCUUUUAGAGAAAGAUCUUGUUGCCUAAGCCGAGAAUUCUCCUUUUUAAGUCCGGAGAUCCUUUUAAAAGAAUAUUUGAGAUUUAAGUAGAGCUCAUUUAUAAACUUAAGAACUUUGAUGUGAAUUUUUGAAUGGCUUACCUCGAUUUCCUCAUCAGAUUCUAAGUAUGUGUCUGAGUCAGACUUUGAUUCUGAAUGUGCCAUCAAGCAUAUAUUUUCUUGCUCAUCAUCUUCUUUUGUUCUUUUCUAGCCAUUCUGCUUGUAUUGUCUUCUUUCACUUAAUUUCUUUUCUUUUCUACUCAACUUUUUGAAUUUCUUGAUCAUAAAAGCAAGUUCUUCGUUGUCCAUGUCAUUUUCUGAGUCUGCAUCAUCAGAAUCAGCGUUAGAUAUUAAAGUGAUGAACUUCUUACCUUCGGGAUCUUUGUCGUUGAGUUGUUCCACUUCAUAGGAUUGAAGAGUGCCAAUCAAUUCAUCAAUGGAGAGUGACAUAAUUCUCUGAGUCUCCCUUAUUGAGGUCUUUACAUGGUUCCAAUAUUUUGAGAGACCUCGCAAAAGUUUGUUGACCAUCAUUGGGGAAGAAAUUGGAUGAUCUUGAUAUGCCAAACCGUUUACAAUUUUUGUAAAACGAUCGAACAUAUCUCCAAUCGACUCUCCUUGCUUCAUCUUGAAGUAUUCAUAUUUGCCGAGCAAGAAAUUUACUUUUGUCUCUUUUACACGAUCAGUCUCUUCAUAUAUAACAUGAAGUCUAUUCCAAACUUCUUUUACUGUUUCACAUGAAGAAAUUCUGUUAUAUUCAGUAGGAGAUAAUGCACAAUAUAAAAAAUAAAUAGCUUUUGCAUCAAGCGCUUCUCUUUUGGACAACUCUGUCCGAGACAUAGGAGCAGGGGGUUUGGUUUCUUUGUCUUUGCCAUUCUUAUUUGAUGUAGACGCAAUAGUGGGAUUGAUUCAUCUUUCCACAACAUCCCAUUGCAAGGGAUCUCUAGAUCUUAGGAACGCUUUCAUUUUGUUCUUCUACACGUAAUAUUCCUUUCCAUCAAAAUAUGGUGGCCUGGUGUUGCUUUGUCCCUCCAUAAGUCCUGAUGCCAAGAUACUAACCAUAGAAGAUCUUUAGCUCAAAAGUAAAAAAAAACAGUUUUAUAAACCAAGCACUUGGCUCUGAUACCAAUUGAAAGUGCUAGUAAGAACACCUAGAGGGGGUGAAUAGGUGUAAAAAUAGAUUCCACAAAAUACAGUGAAAAUAUUUACUUUUAACCUGAGUCUGAAUAACAACAGACUUUUGAAACUGAGUCUGAAGAGCAGUAGGCUUUGAGCAAGAUCAGACUUUAGCAGUUAAAUAGAAUUACGAACAAAAUAAAGAGAUUCAGGGAAGAGAAUAAGAACACAAGAUUUAUAGUGGUUCGGCUUAAUCCAAGCCUACGUCCACUCUCCCACGCUAACAGCUUUCUUUGCUGGAUUCCACUAUGCAAUUAAUAAGAGAUUACAACUUUGAGUGCAAACACUUAGUAGUAGAUCACAAUGUCUCACUAAGCCACUCUUUUGGUAUUUCUCUCACAAUCACAAACGUUUAAGCUCACAAGAGACAAGUGUAUGAAUAAAGAUCGCUUAGACUUUGAAAUUAUAAAUUUUACGCUCCGUCUCUUACUUGCUCAUCGGUCAUUCAUCUCCUUAAAUACUUCUCCACUUCCAAACUAGCCGUUGGAUUGUAUCUCGAGGAUCGUCUUCCAAUCUACCCGUUGGACAGAUCUGUAUCUAGAAGAUUUAGUAACCGUUGAGUGACAAAAGUAAAAUCCCAAAUUGAUUCCGAUCGCUCAUACAAACAAAAUCUUGGUUUCCAUAAGUAGAGCUUCUUCAUAUAGAAAGUUCUUGUCUUGAAGAUCCAAUUGUCAAUCAAUUAGAUUGAGUCAAUCAAAUCAAUCUUGAUGUGGAAUCCAAACCAGAUCACUAGCCGUUAUAUGAUUAGGGCUUGUAUUACAUUCUGUUGAAUCUGGAUGUAAAAUCUGAAUGUAAUAGACUUUACAGUCUAAGUCUGAACAUAUUCUGCUUCUGAAUAUUUUUAGCUUUAAGGUCUUAACACAAUCUGAAUAAGUUCAGCUUCAGCAUAGAAUCUAUUUUCUGGUUCAGCUUCAGUAUAGAGUCUAUCUUCUAGCCGUCUUCAGACUUUGACAAUAUCUUUAUAUGUUCUAUCAUUUACAUGGUCUAUUACUUAACCAUUAUUAAACACAUUAGUUGCCUUUUAAUUUAUAUUGUCAUCUUCAAAAUAUCAUAAGAGAUACCAACCCCACCAUCAACAGCCAGGGCAACCACUACAUGGCGCUCGUCGACCCCGACGCCAAGGAGGUGAGCGAGCGAUAAAAAAUGAUUCCUUUCUUGUGACUAAGAUACUUUUGUGUGUCUCGUUAGGAGCAGUUUCAGUCAAUUUUUUUAAGUCCGAUUAAUCAUAAAGAAACGAUUUUUACAAUACCCUUUUGCAUUACACAAGACGAGGUAGACUUGUAGCAUUGAAAAACGAUUUUUUUACAAUACCGUUUUGAGGCGCUGUCGGAUUCAUUAAUAAAAAUCUGAUUUUUACGAGGGAAGGGGUGUGGGUCGUCGAGCGUUUUUUACUUCAGCUUAUCUGCGCCUUGAUGGGGGACGGGUGUCCUUGUCUGUGCGCGACGUGGGGUGUUUCCCCACUUGCCAUGACGGCGCGUGGGGAGUAGACGCCGCUGUCCUUGGGCUAGUCCAGCCUGGUACCCGACGUGGAAGCUUUGGUUGGUCCGUUUCGUCCGACAGAUCGACUCUGGUCUAAUCAGUGCUUGACAGCCAUGCAACGAGCAGAGUUUCUUUUGGUAUUGAAUUCGACCCAAUAGUUUUCGAGCCGUUUCACAUUGAGGAUGCACUUGUUUCGGAUCUGGAGGACGUUUCUUUCCGGGGAUUUGAUACGUUUGUUAUGAGGCGAAAGAUUUGAUAUCGAUAGGCCCCAGUGACGCUAUCCCAAUGCAAGUGACGAAGCGCGUGGACACGCAGGAGAACGAUUUGGCGGACUGGAACUGGCGGACGGAGGGGGACAUCAUGGUGAACGGCGCCUUCUUCGUGCCGUCCGGGGUCGGCCUCAGCGCCCAGUACUCCCAAGGCCUCCAGCCUCGAGCCCAAGUCCGCCGGCCUCACCAAACAAUUGACCAUGAAUGCCGGUGUCUUCGGCGAUCCUAGGUACACUCUCCCUCUCUUCCUUGCAGGUUCUUUUCCCGGCAUUUUGGUUAGUUAUCAUUUGCUUCAAAAGUCGACUCAUUUUACUCUGCUAAGCUCAGUCUCGGAUGCCGAAUUUAGAUUAGAAGGUUGCUUUGCAUUUGUUAGAAUAUAUAAAUAUUAAAUCACGCAUUUAUUUAACAGUUUAAACUUUUAGAACAGUUAGUGAUAGUCCAUAAAAUCUCAUAUUACUCUAGAGGCAAGAAUGGGGAUAUGAUAAUUUGACAUUGAGUUCAAAAGAUUACAUCACACAUUUUAUACAAAGUUGCACCAAGUUACUAAGCUUUCCAUUGGUUCGUCAUGGCAAAGCUUUAAAUUAUGGUAACUUUUGAUAGUAUCAUACUUUAUUGGCACAUGAUCCAGAUUAGGAUUUUUGUGGAGUUCAUUGUUAGUUAGUAGAAAAAUAAGUUCUACGCUGAGGUGUUACUGGUGCUUUCUGCUUUUCAACUAUCUAUCUCAACUGUCAAGCAGAUUUGGCAUGCCCAUUUAUACUUGAAUACAGCUCUUCACAAAUGCAUUUUCAUCCGAGAGUUUCGGGUAAAUUGCAUUCUUCCAGGAGUUUUUUCUUGGGGUAGAGAACAAAUAGUGUGUUUUAUCUGAUUGGUCUUUUGUUAGAUCUUGACAGCUUUUGCUUAGGUACCCUUCACUUUGAAUGACUGAUUUUUGCGAUGCUCUACAAAUUGGAAGCAUCUACCAAUUGGAACGGUUGGAUCGAUAAUUCUCAGGGGAGAGAUAUUCUAUUUAUUUCUUUGUUUUGAAACGACAACGGACCGAAGAUGAAUCCGGAUUUAACACCUUGCCAUCGUUCCUGAUAAAGUCAUUGUUGACCACAGAACCCUGUCACUUUAGCUGUCACUAUGAAGGGGUAUAAUUCGUCUUCGUCAUCGUGUGCCUGCUUUUCUCUUUCUCAGUUGCUCUUGUUGAUCCAUGGCCUUUUAACCAACAAGGAGAGCAAGUUGUUUUCGCUGGAAUCUCAUUUGGAGCUAAUCACCAGAUCAUCAUGAAAAGUCACUGAUAUAAAAAAAGAUAAAAACUUUCCACUGCAUAUAAUAAUAUUACAGACAUUAUGGUGAGCUUUUUUCUAUUAUUUUGUCAUUCUAUCUUUGCACGUGAUCUUGCGGGGCUUAGAGCAAGAGGGCCAACAGUACAGCCUUUUAGUUCAGUUGUCCUUUUCCUUGUGUUGCCUUUUCCAGUUCAUGAAUAAUCUGCAGUCCUUUGCAGUGAUUUCUUCUUUUUUUAUGAAAAUGGAGAAGUAAAUCCUCUUUUUGCCCUCUACUUUUGACCUUUUUCUCUCAGUAGGCCAUUUAGCGAUUCUUGACCAAUCCCUAGGCAUGCUAGUCGAAACCUAUACUCGAGUCCAUUUAAUGCAUGCCUUCAUCAUCGCAUUGAUUUGCGAUCAAAAGUCCUAGAAUUUAUUCUACCAAUUCGAAUCUCUGAUUUCGGCGACAAUUGCUUCGAGAAAAAUAGGUGAAAUGACGUAAAAAUGCAUAUUCUUUUUCCCGGUAUUGUUUAGACAGGGAAAAUUGCACGCCAUUUUCUCCUAAGUUUUGACAAGUUCAAAUUUUUUGGAGUAGAAUCCCUUGUCUGAUGAGAAGGCUCACUCAAGCUGAUGAGUAGCUUUUGCGAUAUGGACAUCCAGGCUUGUAAUAGUAAAGUGAACCCAACCCAUGUGCAAUCCUGCCUAGGAAUAGCAUACAGGGCAAGAUGAGAUGCUUUUUAGCUUUUUCUGGCAUAUGGGUUUGAGUGGAGGGGACAGUGACUACUUUGGAAUGAUAUUUGGGAGCGAGGCUCCACCGACACAUUCAUCAGCUACCUGCAUCCUUUUGUCUUUACUAAUCAUUUUGGUUUUGUACACUAUCACCAACCAUGGUGCUCUAUUAUCAUUGCAAUUAUUGACAUUGUAGAAACAUUGGAGAAAAGAAGAAAAGUAUUUUCAUGCGCAUGCAUAACAAACACUGAAGAGAGCGAAAAGAAUAAAAAGAAAAUGAAAAAAAAAAGAGUUUCCCUGACUAGUGUGGUUGCAUUGCCUACCCACUUCUCUAUAAUCGAAAGUGCAUCGAGGCACGACGUUUUGGCAAAAGAAGUUGAAUGCAUAAUGCUCCUUCUAAUCUAGUUUAGUGAGUUCAACGUCGCAAAAUUAGAAAAAAAAUGAAAGAUGAAAAAGCUAUUCGAUUCGAUUUGCUUCUUAACUACUAUCGGGUUUGGUUAUGUUUCUAGUAUUCUUCAAGACGUAUUUAUGUGCUUUGCUUCGGAUUGAUUUGACGCUCGAAUUGCACCGUGCUCGCUCCUGUGCGAUGUGAAUGCAUGUGGUACGGAUGGCUCGGGUGACUAUUAUAGGGGGCUCUACUUGCUGCAUUAAUUUCAGGGCAUUUUUUUCCUUCGUUUCUCCAGCCCACAUCAUCUUCAUCGGUCCUUUGAUCACAGCGUUCACGAGCGUCUCCACAUUGAAAUGAAUACGAUUUUCGAGAAAUUUAUUUCCCGUGACGGGAAAGGAAACUAUUGAUUGAAAUUCUCUAAAUAUCCUUCGAACAAUCGUCAACAAAAUCUUUCAGUUUUUGUCCUAUAUACUUUCUUAAAAAGCGAUGAAGUAGGCCUGAGUUCGAACAUGGGCCUGUCCCGGAACAACAUCGGCCCUGCCAAACCGUCAAAACCGAAAUUGGGCAUGUGCCACCCCUAACCACCGGUCAACUAUCCCCAGCACUUGUUCAAAAAAAAAAAACACAACAAUCGCACCGCAUAACUUUAGUAACUUGAACACUAAAGCCAAAGGAAAAUAAAUGGAUAGAGGGUAGCUCCUAUUUCGAGCCAAUCUAUGUAAUUCCUCGGCUAAUUGGACCCAUUAUCAAUGCCGGUCACAUGUCGUCCCGGGUCGCUUGAUCCAAUAUUGUACGGAAAUGUUUGGGCUGCUCCCAUGAUCCCAAUUUGGAAUGAAAAGUUGAUCAAGUAUAAUGUAUUAUCACAUGAAUUAUUACCAACUUAAAGUCUCAGAUGACAUUAAAAGCAAUCACUUUAUAUCCGAAUUUCUCAUCAACCACUUUAUAGAUAUUUUAUAAAAAAUGCAAUCUUCACUCUAUGGGAAGUCAAAAGAAUCAUAAAGUGUGACCCGAUCAAUCACUUUCUAAUUUCCUGGACCUUUAGGCCGCACAUGGUAACGUUUCUAUUUAUUAGAAUUUAUGUUCUUUUGUUCCCUAGAACAAAAAAAGAACAGAAACCCGUUUGGUAAUAUCAAGUUGUUUUUCUAUUCCCCGGAAUAGAAACUUAGCCUAUGAAUGGUUUUGGAAUAAAAACGAGAAAAAAAAAUGCUUCUGUUCCCAGGAAUAAUUUCUAGAAAUAAACUAAUUUUCUUUUUUAUUUUUCUUUUAUUCCUCUCGCUUGUCGUUGCCACCUCCAACCGCUUGCCGCCGGCGAUCCGUGAGCAAGAAUAAAAAACGAAUAAAUACAAAAAAGAAUCGUUGCAUUACCAAACGCAAUUCUAUUCUUUUUCUAUUCCAAUAGUAGAAAUUUUGUGUAGUUACCAAACGGGUUCUUUUACUUAGAAAUUGUUCCCUAUAAUAAAAAUAGAAAAGAACUAUUUCUAAAAAAAAAAAAAACUAUUUUCCAAUCAAGAAGUGUUGUCCUACGCACGGUUCUAGUAUGAAUCUGAGGUUUGAAUCAAUUCAUAGGGUCUUAACAAGGGAAUUCCUAUCAAUAAUAAGAAAAGAAUAGUAAAGCUGCAUUACACACAAAAAACGAAAUAUAAAUAACAAAUCAAAGAAAAAGAAGUAGGUAAAUAGAAGAUUCAAGAGACUUGUAACGAUCAACAUAAAGACGGACGAGUCGAUUUGAUAUUUUGGCAUUACAACCACUUUACCCUCCCCUCCCCCGUCCCCUACAACAUAGCCGUUUGCCCGACGUGACACGUGGGCCCCAGCGGGACAUCACGACCUCACAUGCGAAGAAGGAAGAAACAAGGCACCUCCAUCUCCGUCGCAUCCUUAAGCCAUCCUACACUUUCCUUUUUGCCCGCGAAAAAGGCUUUCGAUUUUGUACCGAAUUCUUUAAUCGCCCCCAAAGUCCAAAAGGACCCCGACAAUGUACCGAUCAACGUCAUGUGGAAAAAUUGGGUAAAUGAUGGACAUCCAAUUUAUUUCCAAAGAGUGCGGGCCAGCUAAACCACCCAUUUUCCCCAGAACGAGGUCGGUGCUAAGAGGGCUUGAAAGUUCAAACCACCACUCACGAACCUCAUUCAGUUGCAGCCUUCAGAAACGAGAAAAGCUCUCUGCAAAUCCCUGGUUUUCACCUUCAUCUUCUUCAAAAGGUUUUCGAGGGGUAGACAUGGUGAUCAAGUCCCUGCAGGUGACGGGGAUGUCCGCCAAGGACCUCCACAACGUCCACCUUACGCAUAAGAUGCACCCGUAUGUCACCGUCUCCCUCUCCGGCAACCACAAGAAGAGCACCGACGUCCACAAGGACGGCGGCACCAGCCCUAGUUGGGUCGACCUCCUCACCUUCCCCGUCGACGAGGCCUGCACCGACCUCCUCACCCUCGUGUUCGAGAUCAUGAGCAAGAAGUCCCGCGGCGGCGAGAAAGAGGUCGGCAGGGUCAAGGUGCCGAUCGCGGAGCUGCUCGAGAAGCAGGGGGACGGGAGGGCCAAGCAAAUGAGCUGCAGCGUGAGUCUGCCGUCCGGGGUCG